rnacentral:lncRNA from 1 species
UGGUGGAAGGUGAAAGUGCAUCUAUACUGUUGGGGAUGUUACCUGUGGGUAACCCGCCCUUAAUGGGUCGGGUCACCAAAGGGGCGACUCACCUUUGGCCAUGUGUUCAAUGGCCCAGAAGUUGUGAGGCGGUUCAAGAAGAUCGUGUGAAUGAUGGAACACCAAGGAAGUUCUGAGUCUUGAGAAGCACGGCGACUUAGAGAUAAGGAAAACUACCAAGUGUAGGAUACCAGGACUUUGUAAACCCUAGGGCCUCAACCUAUAUAUAAAGGCGAGUCCCGAGGAAGGGCUAGGCGAAUUAGAGAGAAUCGAGGGCUAGGUCAGGCGAGUUACGCCCUCCUUGUAAUCGAAACCAUCAUCAAUCUACACAAAGCAGGACGUAGGCUUUUACCUCCUCACAAGGGGCCGAACCUGGGUAAAUCUGAGUCUCGCUUUCUCUCACCCCCUUUAAGUCGCCACCAAGGUGCGAUGGCUCCAUCUUUAAGUCCUUUCACGAGGACAUCUGUUGUGACAAAACCAUGAUAGUUGGCGCCCACCGUGGGGCUAGCGCACGGUGGACUUGAGUUCUCGAAGGGAGCCCUAUCAGUGUUAGAAAGCUACGCCGUCGGUAUCAUGACCAAGAGUCGCCGUGGGAAGUACUACAUCGACAACUCACCAUGGGAAUCGGAGGCUGAUUCCAUCGAAUCUGGCUACCGAGUCCCCUUAGGCAAGAUCAACAUCUUCAUUGGCAUGAUCGGGACGCCCGUACCUGAGACGAACACCUCCAUCGACAUCAUCGAGCCGGCGAGGUAUGUCCUCCCCGUCACACGGCGGAACAAGAGCCUCCAGGUUUUCAUCGGCAUUACGCAGGGAGGCGACUUGCAAGACGGAGAGGCGGGCCAGGACGUCACCCCCGUCAACUCCAAUGACGAGUCAUCCAUGGGCGAGACGGCGUCAAUCCACCCCAUUGAGGAAGUGCAGCUCGGGGGGCUAUCACUGGCGACAGAUCCAGAAGUCCUCGAGAGAUCUCGCCGGCAAAUCACCAUCUACAUGGCGGGAUCAGCACUGCCUCCUCAGAACCCGACUGGCAACAACGAGACCGGAGGGACGUCCAAACCACCAGCGCAAACCAUGACGAAACUGGGAACGGAGAUCGCUAACCUUAUGGCAACCCCGGUCAAGUCUGAGAAUCACGAGUCGGUCAAUGCUGAGCUGGCCAAGCUGCAGGAUGCAAUGGCCAAAGCACAGCGCGACAUGGAAGCAGAAGCCGCCAGGAUCGAGACGCAGCGAGUUGUGGUCGUCGCAGAGACCGAUCGGUUGAACACCGAAGGUUGGCGGCUCGGGAUACAGCAACGCGCGUCGGACGCCGUCCAUCAAAGAAAACACGGCGGACGCAUCCCGGCCUACUUACACCCAACUCGCCUCUUUGACACCCCCCGCACCCCCGGGGCGGGUCCUGAUCGGCCUGUGCAAGCCGCCUUGAGGGGAGGAACGAUUCCGCCACCCAAUCCGCCGCCAGAUGAGCCCAUGAACACUCAUGCGACUCGGUUCCGGACACCAUUGGGUCAUUCCUCAAACCCCGUCGACAACGUGCUGGACGCAACCCGCCACCUCGAGUCUCUCCCGAUUUACGGAAACACCCCAGCCGAGAUAGAAGCUAGAAACGCCAUCGAGAUGCUAAAAACGGCCGUGGUCCAGCACGCGCAGUAUUCCCAUAGCCUUGAUCGGCUCCACUCUACGCCUCAGGCAUGUCACACCAGAAGCCGCCACGAGGAUUUCCCCGCAGUAACCAGCGGGCCGUGGCGGCUCCCCCAACGUGAUCUGCUUGGGAUGCCCGACACACGAGCUCAGGAUAUUGUGGACGUAGCACGAGCCGCGCGGCACAUGGAGCCAACGGCCAUGGCAGGCCAGGUCUAUCCGGCCUACCUGCCACCGACGCUCGCGCCUCUGGAUAUUGGAGGCAAGCACAUUGGAGUGUCGUGUCUCGUGCCGGCUUUGCGCAACCAGCGCAUGCCAAAGGACUUCAAACGACCCAGGAAGCUUCCCAAUUACUCGCCAGACCUCGAUCCCGGGUCAUGGAUCGAGAGCUAUGAGCUCGCAAUGGAUAUGAUGGACGUUAGCGAGGCGGUUUGCGCGAAAUACUUCACCAUGAUGCUCGAAGGGACGGCACACACUUGGCUGGAAAAUCUGCCGCCUAACUCUAUCAACACCUCGGCGGAACUGAAGGAUCGCUUCAUGAAGAACUUCAGAGGAACCUGCAAACGCCCGAUGACUAUUGUCGAUCUACAGCACUGCGUUCAGUGGCCGGAUGAGUCGGCCCACCACUGGACCCGGCGAGUUGCGGAAGUUAUUCAUUUGUCGGAAGGUAUUUUGGCGGCUCUGGCGGUGUUGAUCCUGGAGAAAAAAUUGCCACUACGAGCCUUUGGUGCUGAAACUAGGGAGACUCAAGCGAAAGGUACAGGACAUGGGCGAACUGAUGGACUCCCUCACCAGAUAUGCUCACUGGGAUGACACUAAGGAUCCCGGGGAGGGCGACGAUAAAACCGGAGUUGCCCACAAGGGCGAGUUACAAAGGGGCCAGUCCCAGUUCCAGAACCGAGGAAACAACCACCAUGGUGGGCAUGGCAAGAAGCGACAGUAGGAGGGUCUUGUAGAGUAUGUAGCUAAUACUAAUACUGGCAAUUCAAACCCACGUCAGAAGAAGCAGGGCUUCAGUGGGAAGAAACCAUGUAACUACCAUGAAAUGCUUAAGGGCCCGUGCCCACAGCACGCUGAUACGUCUCAAACGUAUCUAUAAUUAUUGAUGGUUUCAUGCUGUUAUCUUGUCAACUUUGGAUGUUUUAUAUACCUUUUAUAUCUUUUUUGGGACUAACUUAUUAAUUUAGUGCCAAGUGCCAGUUCCUGUUUUUCUGUGUUUUUGACUCUUUCUAGAUAUGAUUUUGGAACGGAGUCCAAACGGAAUAAAAUCCUCGAAAAGAAUUUUUCCAGAACGGAAGAAGAUCGGGGGACUUGAGGGCCAAGGCAGGAGGCCCACAGGGAGGCCACAAGCCCUGUGGCCGAGGCGAGGGGGCCCGCGGCCACCAGGCUUGUGGCCUCCCUGGAGCUCCCCUGCCCUAGCUCUUUGGCCUAUAUAUUCCCUAAAAUCCCAGAAAAAACCAAGGCGUCCACGAAACCACUUUUCCGCCGCCGCAAGCUUCCGUUUCCGCGAGAUCUCAUCUGGAGACCCUUCCCGGUGCCCUGCCGGAGGGAACUUUGGAGUUGGAGGGCUUCUACAUCAACAUCAUCACCUCUCCAAUGACUCGUGAGUAGUCUACUUCAGACCUACGUGUCCGUAGUUAGUAGCUAGAUGGCUUCUUCUCUCUCUUGGAUCUUCAAUACAAAGUUCUCCAUGAUCUUCAUGGAGAUCUAUCCGAUGUAAUCCUCUUUGGCGGUGUGUUUGUCGAGAUUCGAUGAAUUCUGGAUUUGUGAUCAGAUUAUCUAUGAAUUAUAUUUGAGUCUCUGCUGAUUUCUUAUAUGCAUGAUUUGAUAUCCUUGUAAGUCUCUCCGCUUGGGUUUUGUUUGGCNNNNNNNNNNNNNNNNNNNNNNNNNNNNNNNNNNNNNNNNNNNNNNNNNNNNNNNNNNNNNNNNNNNNNNNNNNNNNNNNNNNNNNNNNNNNNNNNNNNNNNNNNNNNNNNNNNNNNNNNNNNNNNNNNNNNNNNNNNNNNNNNNNNNNNNNNNNNNNNNNNNNNNNNNNNNNNNNNNNNNNNNNNCGUGCGGUGACCUUUCCAAGUGAUAGAAGGGGCAGCAAGGCACGCAUCGUGUUGUUGCCAUCAAGGGUAACAAGAUGGGCUUUCAUUAUAGAUUUGAGAUUGUCCAUCUACAUCAUGUCAUCUUGCUUAAGGCGUUACUCUGUUCUUUUGAACUCAAUACACUGGAUGCAUGCUCGAUAGCGGUCGACGUGUGGAGUAAUAGUAGUAGAUGCAGAAAGUAUCGGUCUACUUGUUUUGGACGUGAUGCCUAUAUGUAUGAUCAUUGCCAUAGAUAACGUCAUGACUUUGCGCGGUUCUAUCAAUUGCUCGACAGUAAUUCGUUCACCCAUUGUCUACUUGCUUUCAUGAGAGAAGCCACUAGUGAACACUAUGGCCCCCGGGUCUAUUCACAAUUAUCAGCUCAGCUUUUACUUUUACUAUGCUUUGUUUACUUUUUGCUUUCAGUUCUCACUUUGCAAACAAUCUAUAAGGGAUUGACAACCCCUUCAUAGUGUUGGGUGCAAGCUCUUUGUGUUUGUGCAGGUACUUCUGACUUGAUGCGAUCCUCCUACUGGAUUGAUACCUUGGUUCUCAAACUGAGGGAAAUAAUUACCGCCGCAGUGCUACAUCACCCUUUCCUCUUCAAGGGAACACCAACGCAAGGCUCCAAGGCCGCGGGGGAAUCCUUUGCAUAUUUGGCAAGGAAAUCCCUAUAGGCGUAGCCAGCAGCAGAAGGAUUUCUGGNNNNNNNNNNNNNNNNNNNNNNNNNNNNNNNNNNNNNNNNNNNNNNNNNNNNNNNNNNNNNNNNNNNNNNNNNNNNNNNNNNNNNNNNNNNNNNNNNNNNNNNNNNNNNNNNNNNNNNNNNNNNNNNNNNNNNNNNNNNNNNNNNNNNNNNNNNNNNNNNNNNNNNNNNNNNNNNNNNNNNNNNNNNNNNNNNNNNNNNNNNNNNNNNNNNNNNNNNNNNNNNNNNNNUUUCUGGCGCCGUUGCCGGGGAAGGUCUGUUGUUGCCGUAGCACAAGGAUUUCUGGCGCCGUUGCCGGGGAGAGAUCAAGUCAAGAUCUAUCCAAGUAAGUGUCACAAAAUCAUCUCUUGCAUUUACCUUUUUUGCCAGUUGCCUCUCGUUUUCCUCUCCCCCACUUCACAUUUGCCGUUUUCAUUUGCCUUUCUCCUUUGCCGUUUUCUUUUGCCUUUUUGCCGUUCUCUUUUGCCCGUUUCUCUCGCUUACUUCCUGCUCGUUUGUGUGUGGGAUAGUCCAUCAAUUUCUAGACUCACCACUCCAAACGAUAACCCUGAGAACGAAGUUCUCANCUCGUAAGCAAUCCACUACAGUUCUUCUUCGUAGUUUUUAUGUUGGAAUCUCUCAUUAGAAUAGGUAUAUUCUUGAUACCACCGUAGGCGGGAAUUUUUUGGGGAGCCAUACUGUUGACUCCUAUGGAGCUANNNNNNNNNNNNNNNNNNNNNNNNNNNNNNNNNNNNNNNNNNNNNNNNNNNNNNNNNNNNNNNNNNNNNNNNNNNNNNNNNNNNNNNNNNNNNNNNNNNNNNNNNNNNNNNNNNNNNNNNNNNNNNNNNNNNNNNNNNNNNNNNNNNNNNNNNNNNNNNNNNNNNNNNNNNNNNNNNNNNNNNNNNNNNNNNNNNNNNNNNNNNNNNNNNNNNNNNNNNNNNNNNNNNNNNNNNNNNNNNNNNNNNNNNNNNNNNNNNNNNNNNNNNNNNNNNNNNNNNNNNNNNNNNNNNNNNACUCAGUACGGAUCCAAUGUAACAUCCCAAUUUUCCUAAUUGGGAAUGUUUUACAUUGUAGCUAAGCAUCUAUGCAUAUUGUUUGAAAUAAAUUUAGCUCGGGAAUUCCUUUCGUCUUUUCGAUUUGCAUUUUCAUUUUUCCUCGCGCGAGAAAUGCCCGGAGAAAACUCUCUUGCACGCAAGAGAGAGAGCGGAGGAAAAUGACACUCCAAAGUGCGGGCAAAUUUCUGAAAUAUUUGAGCCAAGAAAACCCAAAGUUCUUUUGCAAAAAUAGUUGCAAAAAGAAAUAAAGAAAAUUUGGGAAUUUCUGAAAAAAAACAUUUUUUAAAAGUUUUUAUUUUUGCUUUGGAAAAAUGUUAUUCGGUUAGAGGAGAUUUUUCUGAAUUUUUUGGUAUAUAAUACCCUAUAUAAAUAUUUUGAUUUAUUUCCCUUUUAUUAGAUUUUGUUUUCUGUUUCGGAAAAAUNNNNNNNNNNNNNNNNNNNNNNNNNNNNNNNNNNNNNNNNNNNNNNNNNNNNNNNNNNNNNNNNNNNNNNNNNNNNNNNNNNNNNNNNNNNNNNNNNNNNNNNNNNNNNNNNNNNNNNNNNNNNNNNNNNNNNNNNNNNNNNNNNNNNNNNNNNNNNNNNNNNNNNNNNNNNNNNNNNNNNNNNNNNNNNNNNNNNNNNNNNNNNNNNNNNNNAAUCCCCACCGCCCCGGGAUCCCGAAUCCCUUUGAUAUAGGGCGACCGCCCCUUCCUUUCCCUCCUCUCCCUCACUUACCUGCGGGCCCCCUGGCCGAACCCACUCCCCCGUCGGCCUUCUCCUACCUCCCCCUUCCUUUCGUCUGCUCCCGAAACCGAGCCCGAGCAGGAACCAGGGAUUUCCUACACCGAGUCCUCCCUCUCCUUCCUUAGCUAUCCCUCCCCAUGGCCUAUAUAUACCCAGCACCCUCGACCGACCCCGUUCCCAACCCUACCUCGCCGCCGCCGCCGCCCGAAGCCCCUGCACCACCUCGCCGGCAGCAGUGCUCCCCCCCUGCUGCCCCGCCUCCAGGAGCAGCCCCGAGCCCCUCUCUCCCCCGAGCGCCUCCCCCCGAGGAGGAGGACUGCCCCGCCGCCGCGNNNNNNNNNNNNNNNNNNNNNNNNNNNNNNNNNNNNNNNNNNNNNNNNNNNNNNNNNNNNNNNNNNNNNNNNNNNNNNNNNNNNNNNNNNNNNNNNNNNNNNNNNNNNNNNNNNNNNNNNNNNNNNNNNNNNNNNNNNNNNNNNNNNNNNNNNNNNNNNNNNNNNNNNNNAAUCCCCACCGCCCCGGAGCCCCCUCCCCCCUCGCUGGCAACGCCCUCGCCGGAGCUACUGCUCCAGUCACGGUACUCUCUCCCUCCCCUCUCUGUUUUCCUUUUGUUUGCUUCUUAGCCCUUAGAUCUUAGUGGAUGGCCUAGAUUAGAUCCCAGAGUAACUGUUCAGUUUAUCUUAGAAAACCAACGGUUUUAUUUCCACUUAUGUUUUAGCCAGUAGCUUUUGCUUAGCUUAGGCCGUUUUCUCCAAACCAUGAAACAAACACCCUCCGCAGCCAAUAGCAACUUGCCACGUGUACCCCAAUAGCUAGCUAAUUGUUUUCAGUUUUUCUGUCAAAAAUUACAAAAACAGAAAGUUUUUGUUUUGUUUUGGCCACAACUAUUUAUCCCGAGGUCCACUGAUAAUGAUUCUUUUUCUAGUAGCUCAAAAAUUUCCUGUAGUUUUUAAAAACAUAUAAUUUGUCUAUGGUUGCAAUUUUCAAAUAUAAGUUAGAUCAGAUUUAGUUUAAACCUUGUUUUGCCUAUUCCAGGAGUUUGAAAAAUGAUUUCGAGUUGAUUCUUUUGCUUAGGCUUUCGCAAAUCCUUGUUUGUGACAUUAUUUUUUACUUGUGGCUUGAUUGAAGUGCUUAUGGUGUGCUUUGUGUUUGUAUCGGUAGAUCAUCCGGAGUGCGAAGCGUGUUACUUAGAAGCGCUCGAGCAAGACAACUAUCAUCAAGGAAAGUCAUUUUGAUCAUGUUAUUUUACCUAUGUUUUCGAUGCAUGGUAGAUCACCUUCUUUGCCCACUUGCAUGCUGCCUAGGUACUUGGAAACUUUAGCAUAAGUUGUAGUAUCAUGUGGUAGGAACACAACAACCCCGAUACUUGGCCGGGUUUAUCGGUUGAGUGUAUACCACGAGUGAUGCGAGGUUGAUAUAAUAAUCAAGACCGGCUAAGACAAGAUUUUUCAAGACCUCGGACGCAAUGCAACUCUGGGUGAAGGACGGUUGAUCGGCUCCCUGGAGAACCCAGUGGAUGCCCGGGAUGCUGGAGAGGCCAUGUCAUCCUGCGGAAAGCUUCACCCAGGCUCGAAGAGACGGACGGAGACUUCGAGACUCAAGGCUUACCUGCACAACCACAAGUCAUUAUGGGCUCUGGCUUGGUUGGACAACGCGGCGACUCUGGACAGGCGGUGCUAGCAGAUGUAGACGAACGGUAGGAAUGGAUGGGCACCGACAGGGAUUCAGAGGGACCCGUUGAAAGACCAUGUUUUGAUCAUCCGGUCUUCAAACACCCUGAAGUGCGAGGACAAACCCGGAGGCGAUCAAAUCUUGUGGGGAACGUGUGCAAAACUCUGCAGAGUGCCCAACCUAAUCGAUUAGCCGUGUCCACGGUCAUGGACAACUUGAGCCGAAGGCAUUGAAUUUCCCCUGAACUCUCGACACAACUUAAUAAUGAUGUGGGUGUUAACAACUAUUCGGGUACGAGAAUUGGUUGGCGGAACCAUCUCGUUAACAACAAACAUUGUAGUAAUAUUUUGCUUUCAACCCCUUUUGUUGUAGGAUAAAACUGGCUUUAUGCAAAAACUUAGCCCCACCGGACAAAUAUGCAUGUAGAGAUAGUUGACUAUUAUUUUACUCCUCUCUUUGAUGACUUGCCGGCAUAUUCAAUAUGCUGACCUACACUGCUGAAACGUAUCAUGUUGCAGAGUACCUUUCCGACCAGGAGUGAGGCUACGAUCUACGCUCAGCGACAUGCCCUUGGAGUCGGAUGGACUCGUCUACCUGAUGCUUCCGCUAGUCUUCGUUAGAUAAUCUCAUGAGUUGGCCUUCAACCACUUUAUUGUAAUCCUUUAUUGUAAUAAAGUACUCUUUAUGAGAUUUCGAUUAAUAAAGCUGUGCGAUUGAACUCUUGAAUAUAUACAUUAUGUACUUAGUGUCUACCAGCAUGAUCUUGGGAUGGUACGGAAACACCAGAGGCUUGACUCGUCUUGAGUCGGGUCGCUGCAUCCAAAGUGGGAAUGGUUUUGAAAAAUUUAAGGGAGAAGGAACCUAUAGUUAAUGAUUCCACUAGAAUUGGCAAACUUGAAGAUGUCAUAACCAACUUCGGUUCCGCUUUUGCUGCUGUGCAAAAUACUCCAAAUCUCACUCUCAAAAAGACCGUCAAGUCUGUUUUUAUUCCUAAAGCUAGUGGUCAGUCAUCCAAUAAAGAUGAAGAUCUUAAGAUGAUAAAUGAUCACACUACUUAUGGUUUGAGCACCAAAGAUGACUAUACAUGAUUCCAUCACCUUAUGCCUAGCUAAGGGCGUUAAACAAUAGCGCUUGUUGGGAGGCAACCCAACGAAUCUAUCCUUUUUCUUUCUGUUUUGUGUUUUCCACACUUUCAUAAUUCUGUUAUGAUUGUGUUUUUUGUGUUUCUUUUGCGUUUGUGCCAAGUAAAACCAUUAUGAUUAGUCUUGGGGAUGAUCGUUUCAUCAUGCUAGAAAAGACAGAAACUUUCUGCUCACGAAAAGAAUUUUCAUUUUGAUUCUGUGAGAGCUUUUGAGUUGAUUCUUUUUUCUGCUGAUUUCUACGCAAAUUCUUCAGACUGUCGUAAUGUUUCAGAAUUUUUGAAGUACCAGAAGUAUACGAAGUAUACAGAUUGCUACAGACUGGUCGCCUGUUAACAGAUUCUGUUUUUUGUUGAGUUGGUUGCUUAUUUUGAUUAAACUAUGGAUAGUAUCAGGGGGUAUUAGCCAUGGAAGAUUGAAAAUACAGUAACCCAACAUCAACAUAAGUAGAAUUUAAGUUUGAUACGGUAUCUAAGGAAGUGGUGGUUUGCUUUCUUAGACUAAUGUUAUCACGAGUUUCUGUUUAAGUUUCCUGUUGUGAAGUUUUCAAGUUUUGGGUGAAGUUCUUAUGGAGAAAGAGAUAAAGAGUGGCAAGAGCUCAAGCUUGGGGAUGCCCAAGGCACCCCAAGUUGAUUCAAGUAUGCCGUAAAAGCCUAAGCUUCGGGAUGCCCCGGGAAGGCAUCCCCUCUUUCGUCUUCAAUCCAUCGGUAACGUUACUUGGGGCUAUAUUUUUAUUCACCACAUGUUAUGUGUUUUGCUUGGAGCGUCUUGUAUCGUAGGAGUCUUUUAUUUUUGUUGUGUCAAAAUCUUCCUUGCUGCACACCUAGAGAGAGAGACAUGCACUCACCGUGAUUUUGUCAAGCUUCACUUAUAUCCUUUGGUUAGGCAAUACAGCUCACACGGGUUUCACUUAUAUCUUUUGAGCUAGUUGAUUUCUCUCUAUGUGUUUCACUUCUAUCAUUUAGAGCACGGAAGCGCGUGGCGUGGUAGUUGAUCUAUGCUAUGAAAGUAGUCUCAAAAGGGGUAGUUAUCAAAAGGGAUACGAAAACUUCCACCUUCAUGCGCAUUGAGUAGUUAGAGAAGUUUGAUUCAUCUGAAUUAGUUUUGAGUUGUGGUUGUGGUAAUAUUGAAGUCAUACUAGUAAGGUGUUGUGGAUCUAGAAAUACUUGUGUUGAAUUUAGUAAUUCCCGUAGCAUGCACGUAUGGAGAACCGCUAUGUGAUGAAGUCUGAGCAUAAUUAGUUUAUUGAUUGUCAUCCUUUGUGUGGCGGUCGGGAUCGCGCGAUGGUUUAUACCUACCAACCCUUCCACUAGGAGUAUGCGUUGAAUGCUUUGUUACGAUUACUACUAAAACUUUUGCAACAAGUAUAUGAGUUCUUCAUGAAUAAUGUUGAGUCCAUGGUUUAGAUGCACUUUCACAUUCCACCAUCACUAUCUUCUUUAGUGCUGUGCAACUUUCGCCGGUGCAUAAAACCACCAUUAGCCUCCCUCAAAACAGCCACCAUACCUAUCUACUAUGGCUUUUUCAAAGACAUUCCGAGAUAUAUUGCCAUGCAACUACCACCAUGACAUGUGCCACAGCUUCUACAUUUCCAUUGCAUGAUCAUAAGAUAGCUAGCAUGAUGUUUCCAUUGAUGUCUAUGCCAUGCUAGAUCAUUGUCACGGUACACUACCGAAGUCAUUCCAUAUAGAGUCGUCAUUGCUCUAAGUUUUGAGUUGUAAGUGUGAUGAUCAUCAUUGAUGGAGCAUUGUCCCAUGUGAGGAAAUAAAAGAGGCCAGCAAAGCCCAUUCACAAAAAGAGGCCAAAUAUGCCCACCAAAAUAAAAAAAUAAAAAUAAAAGAGGGGCCAAAGAGCCCACCAAAAAAAUGAGAGAAAAAGAAAGAAGAGACAAUGCUACUAUCUCCUUUCCACACUUGUGCUUCAUAUUAAGCACCGUGAUCUUCAUGAUUGAGAGUCUCUCGUUUUGUCACCACCAUAUAGCUAGUGGGAAAUUUUCAUUAUAUAACUCGGCUUGUAUAUUCCAAUGAUCGGCUUCCUCAAAAUUGCCUUAGGUCUUCGUGAGCAAGCAAGUUGGAUGCACACCCACUAGUUUUCUUUAAGAGAUUUCACUUACUCUUAGCUCUAGGCAUCAUUUGUAUGGCAAUCCCUACUCAGUCACAUUGAUAUCUAUUGAUGAGCAUCUCCAUAUCUCAUUGAUAUGCCUAGUCGAUGUGACCAUCUUCUCCUUGUUUGCCUUACAACCUCCACCACACUCCAUUCCACUUAUAGUGCUAAAACCAUGGCUCAUGCUCAUGUAUUGCAUGAGAGUUGAAAAGGUUUGAGAAAGUAAAGGUGUUAAAACAAUUAGUUGGCCAAUACCGAGGUUGUGCAUGAUUUAAAUUCGUUGUGCAAGGAUGACGGAGCAUAGCCAGACUAUAUGAUUUUGUAGGGUUAACUUUCUUUUGGCCUUGUUAUUUCGACAGUUCAUGAUUACCUUGCUAGUUUGCUUGAAGUAUUAUUGUCUCCUCGUCAAUAGAAAACUAUUGUUUUCAAUCUAAUGGAUAUGAACAUUCAUGCCACAUAAGAGGAGUUACAAAGGACAUCUAUGCUAGGGUAGCAUGAAAGCAUAAAAAAUUCAUUCUUUAUCACUUCCCUACUCGAGGACGAGCAGGAGUUAAGCUUGGGGAUGCUUGAUACGUCUCAAACGUAUCUAUAAUUUUUGAUGGUUUCAUGCUGUUAUCUUGUCAACUUUGGAUGUUUUAUAUACCUUUUAUAUUUUUUUGGGACUAACUUAUUAAUUCAGUGCCAAGUGCCAAUUCCUGUUUUUUCUAUGUUUUUUGACUCUUCUCAGAUCUGAUUUUGGAACGGAGUCCAAACGUAAUAAAAUCCCCGCAAUGAAUUUUUCCAGAACGGAAGAAGAUCGGGGGACUUGAGGGCCAAGGCAGGAGGCCCACAGGGAGCCCACAAGCCCCGUGGCCGCGGCCAGGGGGCCCGCGGCCACCAGUCUUGUGGCCUCCGUGGAGCUCCCCUACCCUAGCUCUUUGGCCUAUAUAUUCCCUAAAAUCUUAGAAAAAAUCAAGGCGUCCACGAAACCACUUUUCCACCGCCGCAAGCUUCCGUUUCCGCGAGAUCUCAUCUGGAGACCCUUUCCGGUGCCCUGCCGGAGGGGACUUUGGAGCUGGAGGGCUUCUACAUCAACAUCAUCGCCUCUCCAAUGACUCGUGAGUAGUCUACUUCAGACCUACGGGUCCGUAGUUAGUAGCUAGAUGGCUUCUUCUCUCUCUUGGAUCUUCAAUACAAAGUUCUCCAUGAUCUUCAUGGAGAUCUAUCCGAUGUAAUCCUCUUUGGCGGUGUGUUUGUCGAGAUCCGAUGAAUUAUGUAUUUGUGAUCAGAUUAUCUAUGAAUUAUAUUUGAGUCUUUGUUGAUUUCUUAUUUGCAUGAUUUGAUAUCCUUGUAAGUCUCUCUGAGUCUUGGGUUUUGUUUGGCNNNNNNNNNNNNNNNNNNNNNNNNNNNNNNNNNNNNNNNNNNNNNNNNNNNNNNNNNNNNNNNNNNNNNNNNNNNNNNNNNNNNNNNNNNNNNNNNNNNNNNNNNNNNNNNNNNNNNNNNNNNNNNNNNNNNNNNNNNNNNNNNNNNNNNNNNNNNNNNNNNNNNNNNNNNNNNNNNNNNNNNNNUGCGGUGACCUUUCCCAGUGACAGAAGGGGCAGAAAGGCACACAUCGUGUUGUUGCCAUCAAGGAUAACAAGAUGGGCUUUCAUCAUACAUUUGAGAUUGUCCAUCUACAUCAUGUCAUCUUGCCUAAGGUGUUACUCUGUUCUUUUGAACUCAAUACACUAGAUGCAUGCUGGAUAGCGGUCGACGUGUGGAGUAAUAGUAGUAGAUGCAGAAAGUAUCGGUCUACUUGUUUUGGACGUGAUGCCUAUAUGUAUGAUCAUUGUCAUAGAUAACGUCAUGACUUUGCGCGGUUUUAUCAAUUGCUCGAUAGUAAUUCUUUCACCCACCGUCUACUUGCUUUCAUGAGAGAAGCCACUAGUGAACACUACGGCCCCCAGGUCUAUUCACAAUUAUCAUCUCAACUUUUACUUUUACUUUGGUUUGUUUACUUUUUUCUUUCAGUUCUCACUUUGCAAACAAUAUAUAAGGGAUUGACAACCCCUUCAUAGCGUUGGGUGCGAGCUCUUUGUGCUUGUGCAGAUACUUGUGACUUGACGCGAUCCUCCUACUGGAUUGAUACCUUAGUUCUCAAACUGAGGGAAAUACUUACCGCCGCAGUGCUACAUCACCCUUUCCUCUUCGAGGGAACACCAACGCACGGAUCCAAGGCCGCGGGGGAAUCCUUUGCAUAUUUGCCAAGGAAAUCCCUAUAUGCGUAGCCAGCAAUAGAAGGAUUUCUCGCGCCGUUGCCGGGGAAUGUCUGUUUUUGCCGUAGCAGAAGGAUUUCUGGCGCCGUUGUCGGGGAAGGUUUGUUGUUGCCGUAGCAGAAGGAUUUCUGGCACCGUUGCUUGGGAGAGAUCAAGUCAAGAUCUAUCCAAGUAAGUGUCACAAACUCAUCUCUUGCAUUUACCUUUUUGCUAGUGGCCUAUCGUUUUCCUCUCCCCCAUUUCACAUUUGCCGUUUUCAUUUGCCUUUCUCCUUUGCCGUUUUCUUUUUCCUUUUUGCCGUUCUCUUUUGUCCGUUUCUCUCGCUUACUUCCUGCUCGUUUGUGUGUGGGAUAGUCCAUCAAUGUCUAGACCCACCACUCCAAAUGAUACCCAUGAGAACGAAGUUCUCANNNNNNNNNNNNNNNNNNNNNNNNNNNNNNNNNNNNNNNNNNNNNNNNNNNNNNNNNNNNNNNNNNNNNNNNNNNNNNNNNNNNNNNNNNNNNNNNNNNNNAAGCACUUCUCCCAUUGCAAGAAUCAUAGAUCAAGCUGGCCGAACAAAACCCACAACUCGAAGAGAAUUACAAGGAUAUGAAAUCAUGCAUAUGAGAGAUCAGAAGAAACUCAAACAAGAUUCAUAGAUAAUCUAAUCAUAAAUCCACAAUUCAUCGGAUCUUGACAAACACACCGCAAAAGAAGAUUAUAUCGGAUAGAUCUCCAUGAAGAUCAUGGAGAACUUUGUAUUGAAGAUCCAAUAGAGAGAAGAAGCCAUCUAGCUACUAGCUAUGGACCCGUAGGUCUAUGGUGAACUACUCAUUCAUCAUCGGAGAGGUCAUGGUGUUGAUGAAGAAGCCCUCCGUAUCCGAAUCCCCCCUCCGGCAGGGCACCAGAACGUGCCCCAGAUGGGAUCUUGCGGAGACAGAAACUUGCGGCGGCGGAAAAGUACUUUCGAUGAUCUCCUGAUUUUUUUCUGGGAUUUUAGGGAAUAUAUAGACGAAAGACCUAGGGAAGAGGAGGUCCAGGGAGCCCACAAGCCUGGGAGACGCGGCCCCCCCUGGCCACAGCUAGGGNNNNNNNNNNNNNNNNNNNNNNNNNNNNNNNNNNNNNNNNNNNNNNNNNNNNNNNNNNNNNNNNNNNNNNNNNNNNNNNNNNNNNNNNNNNNNNNNNNNNCCUCUCCUAACACGGUAGCAAUGCGGGUGGGUUGUUCCCCCAAGACACCUAGUUGUCUGCUCCCUAUCCUAUGCAGCCUGCCGCGGGCUCUCUUUCUCUCGCCGCGUCCUCCCAACGGCAACGCUCCUCUGCCAUCAAUGCCCGCUUGGUGGCCUCCAGCUCCCGCGAGGCGGCGCACUUCUGUUCUCCCUCGGCACCCGCGUUCCUCCCAGGCGCCUCGACGCCACCAUCGGCAGUUUCCCCCGUCUCAGACACCCUUCCUAGGGCACACGGUUCCUUGCAUGGCUCAGAUGGCAACGUGAGAAAGGUGAGGGAAGGAAAAAGAACCGAACCAAAACCAAGAAAGCAAAACGAAUAACUUACCCGACAAUCAUGGGGACCGCACGCCUCGUCACCUGGCCUGUGGGGGCGACGCACGCUCCCUUUCCACCUUCUAUAUGGAUAACGCCUGACUGCGCCCUCGUCGUGCAUUUUGCAGCCGACCGGGAGCUAACCUACUGUUUCCCCCAUGCACGCUCGAUCGCCUCCAACUCGUCGGGCGCCGACAUGGGUCUAGUUUGCCGGUUAUGCAUCCUCGGCACGGAGGCAUCGUCCUCCACGGCCUCUGAAUCAUCUACAUCGGGCAUUUAUUCAAACUCAGAGUCAUCACAUACAUCUAGUCUCGUAAGGGACAAGAGGAGGGAAACUCACCGGCUGGCUCGGAAUGGUCGGCUCCCGAUCCGCCGACACGGGCUUCCUCGUCCACCGGCUCCACGUCCUCAAAAUCCUUCAUAUCCUUAGCGUUCGACUCCGCCUUGUCGGUCUUCGGCUCCCUGUAGUUCUGUCGGUUCGCGAACAACUGCGGUCGGGCCGGUUCACGGUCAUUUGGAGCCGGUCGCAAGAAAAGAAAAGCAAGGGAGACACCAUGCUGCGUACGUGGGGAGGCGGAUGCACCCGGUCAUAAGGGACCUUGCCCUAUUUCCAUCCCAUGAUACGUCUCCAAUGUAUCUAUAAUUUUUGAUUGUUACAUGUUGUUAUAUUAUCAUUCUUGGAUGUUUUAUGACCAUUUUAGAGCAACCUUAUAUCAUUUUUUGGGACUAACCUAUGGACAUAGUGCGUAGUGCCAGUGUUUCUUUCCUUUGCAGAAAAUCAAUAUCAGAUGAAGUCCAAAUGCCACGUAACUUUACAGAGAUUUUUUGGACCAGGAGGUAACUUGGGAGCCAAGGAGGAUCACUAGACGAAGCCCAUACAUACCACUAGGCACCAGGGCAUUCCUAGGGCCGCUGGCAUGACCUGGUGUCUAGUGGGGCCCUCGGGCGCCUCCUCCACCACCUCUGAUCUCUAUAAAUGCCCCAAUAUUCAGAAAACCCUAAGGGAGUUGACGAAAAAUCGUUUCAGCCGCCGCAACUUCCGUAAGCCACGAAAUCCAAUCUAGAUCCUGUUCCAGAGAGGAACACGAUCAUAGAGGGGUUCAUCAUCCUCAUUGGUUCUCCUUCGAUGAUGCGUGAGUAGUUCAUAUCGGACCUAUGGGUCCAUUGGCAGUAGCUAGAUGGCUUUCUCUCUCAUUUUGUUUCUGAAUACAAUGGUCUCUUGGAGAUCCAUAUGAUAUAACUCUUUCUUUUGCGGUGUGUUUGCUGGGAUCCAAUGAAUUGUGAGUUUAUGACCAGAUCUAUGAAAUCAUUAUCAUGCUUGAUUAUUAUAGCAUCGUAUUUCUUCCCUGCUAUUUCGGUUUUUUGGCCAACUUGACCUUUUAUCUUGCAAUAGGAAGAGGUGCUUUGUGAUGGGUUCGAUCUUGCAGUGCUCAAUCUCAGUGACAGAAAGAGACAUGACACACAUGUAUCGUCAGUAUCAAGGAUAAAACGAUGGGGUCAAUUCCUACAUGAAUAGAUCUUGUCUACAUCAUGUCAUCAUUCUUAAGGCAUUACUCCAUUUUUCUAUGAACUCAAUACACGAGAUGCAUGCUGGAUAGCGAUCGAUGUGUGGAGUAAUAGAAGUAGAUGCAGGCAGAAGUCGAUCUACUUGUCUUGUAUGUGAUGCCUAUAUACAUGAUCAUUGUCUUGACUAUCAUCAUAAUUAUUUGCUCUUCUAUCAAUUGCUCAACAGUAAUUUGUGUACCCACCGUUUGCUGUUUUCUCGAGAGAAGCCACUAGUGAAACAGACGCCCCCGGGUCUACUUCACUUCAUCUAUUUGCAAUAUCUACUUUUCUAUUUGCGUUUAUAUUUUAUUUUCUCUUUUAUUUUCAGAUCUAUAUUAUCAAAAAACCCAAAAAUACCUUGCUGCAUUUUAUUUGCUAUCAUUCUUAUUUUCAUCUAUAAAUCUAUCCUUACUUUACCCAUGAGGGAUUGACAACCCCUCCAUGCGUUGGGUUGCGAGGAUUUGCUAUUUGUGUGCAAGUGUUGCUUACAUAGUCUUGUGGAUAUUCCUACUAGAUUGAUACCUUGGUUUCAUAACUGAGGGAAAUACUUGCCGUCACUUUGCUACAUCACCCUUUAAGCUUGGAGGGAAACCAACACAAUCAACAAGGAGUCAAGAUUUUUGGUGCCGUUGCCGAGGAAGAUCAAGUCAAAAUCUAUCAGGUUGCUAUACACAACUCUCAUCUCCUUCCAAUUACAUUAUUUGCCAUUUUCCUCUCGUUUUCCUCUCCCCCACUUCACCAAAAUACCUUUUUAACCUUCUUUCCGUUUGCCGUUUUCUUGGCGGAUCUCUUGUUUGCUUGUGUUCUUGAUUCAGUAGUCAUGAUGACUAAGUUGUAUUAUUUUCCUAUUACCAAUAACAAUGAUUUCAUUAGCACUCCGAUUUCUCCUGCUACCACUAGGGAGGAGUCUUAUGAUAUUAAUGCCGCUUUGUUGAAUCUUGUUAUGAAGGAGCAAUUUUCCGGUACUCCUAAUGAGGAUGCCGCGUCCCAUCUAAAAACUUCCAUAGAAUUGUGUGAUAUGCAAAAGAAGAAUGAUGUGGACAAUGAUAUUGUUAAGUUGAAAUUGUUUCCGUUCUCUUUAUGCGACCGUGCUAAAAUUUGGUUUUCUUCUUUGCCACGAAAUAAUAUCAAUUCUUGGAACAAGUGCAAAGAUGCUUUUAUCACAAAGAAUUUUCGUCCCGCGAAAAUUAUUUCUCUUAGAAAUCCGAUUAUGAAUUUAAAAAAAAUUGAUCACGAGCAUGUUCCCAAUAUUGGGAAAGGAUGAAAUUGAUGAAAAGAAAUUGCCCAACUCAUGGUUUGGAUUUGUGGAUGAUCAUACAAUUUUUUUAUGCAGGACUGAACAUUGUUUCUAGAAAUCUUUUAGAUUCUAAUGUGGGUGGUACUUCUAUGGAAAUUAUUUUGGGUUAUGCUACUAAAUUUCUUCAUAAUACUAUGGCUAAUUAUUCACAAUGGAAUACUGAAAGAGCUCCUAGUAGUAAAAAGAUUAAUUAUGUUGAAGAAAUUGAUGCUUUGAUUGAUAAAGUUGAUGCUCUUAUGAAAUUGGUUGCUAGUAAGCAUGCUCCUAUUGAUCCUAAUGAUGUGCCUUUGUCUACUAUGAUUGAGAAAAAUAAUGAUCCCGUAGAUGUGAGUUUUGUCUCAAGAAAGAACUUUAAUAAUAAUGCUUAUAGGAAAAAAAUUAAUCCUAGGCCGUAUCCUGGAAGUUCUUCAAAUAAUUGUGGUAAUUCCUAUGGUAAUUAUCAUAAUAAUAAUGUUAGGAUACCCUCUGAUCUUGUGAGUAAUAUUAAGGAAUCUAUCAAUGCGCAAAAGUAUUUCGAUACUGCGAUAGACGAAAAGUUGAAUAAGAUUGAUGAUAUGUCUAGAAGCAUUGAUAGAAUUUCACAUGAUGUAGAAAAUCUAAAGAAGAUUUUUUUUUCUAAGGUUGAUAUUAUUGAAUCAAUUAAAGAUUUAUAUAUUUCCAUAGAUGAAAGUAAGAAAAGAACCGCUAUGCUUAGAGCUAAAAGAGAAUUUCUAGAAAGAGCGUUUUCCGAUUUCUUUCACAAAAAUUAUGAUGAGAUUAAAAUGAUUGGUGUUUCUUCUAUUGAUUCCAUGUUUAGUAAUGUUAAAAUUAAUGAUGAGGGAACUGAAGAAGAGUCAAGUUUAUCUAGAGGGUGUUCUCCUGAUUUGGAGGGUGGAAAUCCCAUUGAAAAAAUUGAUAAAAGUGACAGGUCAAAACAUUAGCUAGUGAUGCACCCACUAUUUCGGAUUGCAAAAACAUUAAUUUUGAUAGCUGCUCUUUGAUUGAGUGUAUUUCUAUGUUGCAAUUUAUGAUAAAUUCACCCAAUGCCUAUGAACAAAAUAAAGCUUUUACUAAACAUAUUUCGGAUGCGUUAAUAAAAGCUUUGGAAGAAAACUUAGAGAUAGAGAUUUUAGUUCCUAGAAAAUUACAUGAUGAAUGGGAAUCCACCACUAAGAUCAAGACUAAGAAUUUUGAGUGCUAUGCUUUAUGUGAUUUAGUUGCUAGUGUUUCCACGAUUCUGAAAUCUCUUUGUGAUGUGCUUGGUCUUACCAAUAUUGAAGAAUGAUCUCUCAAUUUGCACUUGGUGCAUUCAACUAUUAAAAUCCUAUGGGAAGAAUUAAUGAUGUCUUAUUCUUGAAUAUAGUAAUUUUGUUCCCAUAGAUUUUAUUGUUCUUGAUAUUGAUUGCAAUCCAUCUUGUCCAAUAAUUCUUGGUAGACCGUUCUUGCGUACUAUAGGGUCCGUGAUUGAUAUGAAAUAAGGGAAUAUUAAAUUUCAGUUUCCACUAAUAAAAUGCACGGAACAGUUCCCUAUAACUAAUAUUAAAUUACCAUAUGAAUCAAUAAUGAGUUCAACCUAUAGGUCAAUCACGAAAGAUGAUAAUACUUGAAAUCUAUGAUAUACUUGAAAUCUAUGCUAUAUGCCUAGCUAGAUGGAUUUCUCUCUUGUUUUGUUUCUCAAUGCAAUGGUGUCGUGGAGAUCCAUAUGAUGUAACUCUUUCUUUUGCAGUGUGUUUGUUGGGAUCCGAUGAAUUGUGAGUUUAUGAUCAGAUCUAUGAAAUCAUACUCAUGCUUGAUUAUUAUAGCCUCGUAUUUCUUCUCCGAUAUUUAUUUUUUGUCUGGCCAACUCUAUCGUUUAUAUUGCAAUGAGAAUAGGUGCUUUGUGAUGGGUUCGAUCUUGCGGUGCUCAAUCUCAGUGACAAAAAGAGACAUGACACGCAUGUAUCGUUGCUAUCAAGGAUAAAAUGAUGGGGUCUAUUCCUACAUGAACAGAUCUUGUCUACAUCAUGUCAUCGUUCUUAAGGCAUUAUUCCAUUUCUCCAUGAACAUAAUACACUAGAUGCAUGCUGGAUAUCGGUCUAUGUUUGGAGUAAUAGAAGUAGAUGCAGGUAGAAGUCGAUCUAGUUGUCAUGACGUGUUGCCUAUAUAAAUGAUCAUUGUCUUGAAUUUCGUCAUAAUUAUUUGCUCUUCUAUCAAUUGCUCAACAAUAAUUUCUCUACCCAUCAUUUGCUAUUUUCUCGAGAGAAGCCACUAGUGAAACCUACGCCCCCCGGGUCUACUUCUCAUCAUCUAUUUGCAAUCUCUACUUUUCUUUUUACAUUUCUAUCUUAUUUGCUCUUUUUUAGAACUAUAUUAUCAAAAACCCCCAAAAUACCUUGCUCGUUUUAUUUGCUAUCACUCUUAUUUGCAUAUAUCAAUCUAUCCUUACUUUACCCAUGAGGGAUUGAGGACCCCUCCAUGCAUUGGGCUGCGAGGAUUUGCUAUUUGUGUGCAGGUGUCUCUUACAUAGUGUUGUGGAUCUUCCCACUGAAUUGAUAUCUUGGUUUCAUAACCGAGAGAAAUACUUUCCGUCACUGUGGUACAUCACUCUUGAAGCUUGGAAGGAAAGCAACGCAAUCAACGAUGAGUAGGUCACCCCACCUUCGGCAGCUUGGCGAUGGUGAUGAGGUUGACCAGCCUCGCGAUGUCAACCGACUUUAGCUCCUUCGUGGAGAGAUAGCAUGGGUCAAACUGCCCCCAUGAUGCAGACGCGGUGUUGGCGGCGCUGCAAUGGCAACACCUGAGACGCUAUCAUGGUGGUGAUGAGGUCGACAGCCUUGGUGCCCUUCGCGUCGGUCAUCUCCGUGAGACGGGCGUACGCCUCUUUCACCAGCUCGACGCUUUGUCGCGGAUCCGUCCCCGAAUUUAACUACGCAAUAGGCGACCAGUUGACAAAGGUGGGCAAGUUAAUGUAGUCCAGUACUUGGUCAACGUUCUUCCCAAAGAAGAACGAGCGCUGCCAGUUCUUCACCGACUCGUGCAGUAUAAUCUUUGGGAAGCGGGUUCCCUGCCGGAUGUUGACGAGGUCCACCCCACAGGCGGUCAUCUCCUUCGCCCCUCUUGCCUUCUGCUCCACCGUUUUCUUCUUCAGGUAGAAGAGCCGGCACCAGAGGUCGAGUCACGACUCGAUUCUGAGGAAUCCCUCGCACAUCGCGACAUAGGCAGCGAGCUGCAGGAUGGAGUUGGCCCCAAGAUCAAGGGGCUGCAACCCGAACUGGGUCAGUAACCGGCAAAAGAAGGUGCUCGCCGGUAGCCCGAACCUAUGGGCGAAGUGAUGUUCGAAGGCAACCACCUCGAUGUCCCUCGACACCGGAACACUUUCCGCUCCGGGGAGGCGCACCUCCACAUGACCCGCCGGCGGUAGUUUUCGGCGUAGGUGGAUGCGGUCGAUGUAGUCCUCGUCGACGUUGCUCCCGUCCCAUGUUCCCUUGCACCCCAUCGACAUGCUUGGUGCGGGCUCGUAUGUGGCGGUGGCAUGGGCAACGUGGAAGAAGUUGCCCAGUGGCCGGGCGGUGUUUCUCUUGCGCUCCCUCUCUCUCACUUUCAAUGGGAAGGCCUGCUCCGCGCCCUGAUGACCCACAAGUAUAGGGGAUCAAUCGUAGUCCUUUCAAUAAGUAAGAGUGUCGAACCCAACGAGGAGCAGAAGGCUCUGAUAAACGGAAUUCAGCAAGGUAAUAACUGCAAGCACUGAAAGUAGCGGUAACAAGUGAUUGUGUAGCGAGGUGAAACGUAGCAAACAAAAAGUACCAAGUAACAAGUAGUAGCAACGGUGCAGAAAGUGGCCCAAUCCCUUUUGUAGCAAGGGACAAGCCUGAACAAAGUCUUAUAGGAGGAAAAACGCUCCCGAGGACACACGGGAAUUUCUGUCAUGCUAGUUUCAUCAUGUUCAUAUGAUUCGCGUUCGNNNNNNNNNNUAUAGUUUGAUACGUGGGUGGACCGGCGCUUGGGUACUGCCCUUACUUGGACAAGCAUCCCACUUAUGAUUAACCUCUCUCGCAAGCAUCCGCAACUACAAAAUAAGAAUUAAGACAAAGUCUAACCAUAGUAUUAAACUAGUGGAUCCAAAUCAGCCCCUUACGAAGCAACGCAUAGACUGGGGUUUAAGCUUCUGUCACUCCAGCAACCCAUCAUCUACUUACUACUCCCCAAUGCCUUCCUCUAGGCCCAAGUAUGGUGAAGUGUUAUGUAGUCGACAUUCACAUAACACCACUAGAGGAAAAGACAACAUAGAGCAUAUCAAAGUACCGAACGAAUAUCAAAUUCACAUGACUAUUAUUAACAUGACUUAUCCCAUGUCCUCAGGAACAAAAGUAACUACUCACAAAACAUAAUCAAAAUCAUGAUCAGAGGUGUAAUGAAUAGCAUCAAGGAUCUGAACAUAAACUCUUCCACCAAGUAAUCCAACCAGCAUCAACUACAAAGAGUAAUCAACACAACUAGCAACCUUACAAGUACCAAUCGGAGUUGCGAGACGAAGAUUGGUUACAAGAGAUGAACUAGGGAUUGGAGAGGAGAUGGUGCUGAUGAAGAUGUUGAUGAAUAUGCCUCCCCUCCGAUGAGAGGAGUGUUGGUGAUGACGAUGGUGACGAUUUCCCCCUCCGGGAGGGAAAUUUCCCCGGCAGGAUGGUCCUCCCGGAGCUCUAGAUUGGAUCUGCUCAAGUUCCGCCUCGUGGCGGCGGCGAAACCACGAGAAAGCUCCCUUAUGAUUUUUUCUGGACCAAAACCCUUCAUAUAGCAAAAGAGGGGGGCUAGUGGGCCGUCAGGAAGCCCACAAGCCCCCACUCCGCCAACAGGGGGGUGGUGGCGGUGGCAGGGCUUCUGGCGCCCUCGCAGCCCCCCUCGUGUACUUCUUUCACCCAGUAUUUUUUAUAUAAUACCAAAAAAAUCAACGUAACUUUUCAGGGCAUUUGGAGAUGUGCAGAAUAGUGGACUAAGAUUUGCUUCUUUUCCAGUCCAGAAUUCCAACUGCCUGAAUUCUCCCUCUUCAAAUAAACCUUGCAAAAUAAGAGAGAAAAGGCAUAAAUAUGGUACCACAAANNNNNNNNNNNNNNNNNNNNNNNNNNNNNNNNNNNNNNNNNNNNNNNNNNNNNNNNNNNNNNNNNNNNNNNNNNNNNNNNNNNNNNNNNNNNNNNNNNNNNNNNNNNNNNNNNNNNNNNNNNNNNNNNNNNNNNNNNNNNCGCCCCUCCCCUCCAUUUACACCCCAUGUGUUGUUAGUGGGGGAGUGGAUCAGUUGUGCAUGAUGCCCAAUCCCCCGCCCUGCACCGGCCCGUUAAUGCACAUGGGAAAACCAACUAACGACCUCAGCCCUAGCUGAUCCCACGCGCUAGCCGAGGUUGAUGUCGGGCGGUCCCUAGCUCACAGUCCUGUCUUGUCACCCAUGUAGCAUGGCAGGGCUCAGUGUGCUACAGGAGACAUAUGGUGGCCCUAUUCCUUACGACCGAGGCGUCGCAGUGCGCUGCUCAGUGCCGACCGGCUGGACCCCCAGACGUGGUGCACGGACGGGCGGUCCGGCUCUAAGACUUCACCAACAAUGAUCGCCGGGGACAAGCCGACGAGGCCCAUCGCCUCGAGCCGGUGGGUCUCUUCGGCUUCAAGGACUAAUGUCGGGGGGAUAACCCCAGGGUAGCCUCUGGGCGACAGAUGCCCCCCUUUGAAAAACAUCGGGGUGGGCUUCGCCCCUCAAGCGUCGGCUCCUACUGCACGAGCCGAGUCAGGGCUGAGCCCUCGCCAUCCGGCUCUAGACGACCCACGAGCGAGCGGGCAUGUGCCCCUCUCACUGACCUAUAUGAAAAGACACCACCAUGAUGGUUUGACGCAAUGCCAAAGCCAAGCACUCCAUAGCGCCGUGCACACAUGGCUACAGUGGAGCCGGGCAUAUCGCUGACCGCUGACGACUAAGACUAGGUAGGGCGGCACAGUGGUCGCGUUGUGCCAACCACUCCAUGAUGUCGUUCACGCAUGGCUACAAUGGAGCCGACCAUACUAUUGGCCGCUACCGACUGCGACUGGGCAAGGCGACACCAUGGCCUCAUAGUGCCACCAAUCCAUGAUGCCGAGCACACGUGGAAACAUUGGAACCGGCCGUACCGCUAACCGCUAUUGACUACGACUAGGCAAGGUGGGCCAUCAAUUCAAUGGGACCUCACACCCCACAGGUCCUAUAGGUGACAAGACGGCUCCAAUGGUGGGACCCUCCAACCGGCCAAAGAGGCUGCCACCCGGGCUCCACCCUUAUUAUCCAUGCAUAUUGUAAGCUGGGGGGCUGGCCUACAAAGCCCCCCGAUACACCCCAUGAAAGGGGUUCCCCGCUCUCACACUCAUACACACACACGUAGAGAGGCAAGGAGAGCGAACCAGCUCCGUCUUCCUCCUCUAGCCAACAGCUCAAGGAGCACCAUUGUAUCUCUUGUGUACUACAUACUAGAUUCGGCAGGACUAGGGGUAUUGUUGGGGAACGUUGCAUGGGAAACAAAAAAUUUUCUACGCAUACAUAAGAUCUAUCCAUGGUGAUGACCAUCUACGAGAGGAGAUAUCAGAUCCACAUACCCUUGUAGAUCGCUACGCGGGAAGUGUUAAGAAAAGCGGUUGAUGUAGUCGAACAUCUUCGUGAUCCAAAUCGCAAGCCGUCCCAUGAUCCAAUCAUGAUCUAGAGCCGAACGAACGACACCUUCAUGUUUAGCACAUGUGCAGAUCGAUGAUGAUCUCCUCCUUCUUGAUCCAGCAAGAGAGAUGAAGAGGUAGCUAAAUUCUCUAGAAGCAUGAUGCCGUGACGGUGAUGAUGGUGGAGCUACUCAGGUAGGGCUUCGUCGUGCCAUACCGAAAUAACCUACAGGGUCUCACGAAGUAGUGGAGGGAGAGGAGCUGCGUUGUUGCUUGAGGUGCGGCUAACAUCUCUACCCUCCACUAUAUAUAUAGGAGGGAGGGAGGGGUGGCGCCCUAGGGAAAACCCUAGGGGGUCGACCAGUGCACCAAUUCGGUUUGCCCCACGUCUCUCUCUUUUUCCACUUCUACCGAAUAGGACCACUUGGGCUGGCCGCCCAACUAACCAGGGGCUGGUGCGCAACCCUUGGGCUUAUUUGGUCCCUCUCCGGGUGGGUGGCCCCUCCCGGUGGAACCCCGGAACCGAUUCAUCACUCCCGGUACUUUACCGCUAAUGCCCAAAAUCCUCCCGGAAGCCAAAUGUACCCUUCCUAUAUAUCAAUCCUCGUCUCCGGACCAUUCCAAAACUCCUCGUGACAUCCGAGAUCUCAUCCGGGACUAUGAACAACAUCCGAUUACCAACAUCCGUAAUUCAACUAUACCGAAACGUCACCGAACCUUAAGUGUGCAGACCCCGCGGGUUCGAGAACAAUGUAUACAUGAUCGAGACACACUCCAGUCAAUAUCCAAUAGCGGGACCUGGAUGUCCAUAUUGGAUCCUACAUAUUCUACAAAGAUCUUAAUCGGUUGAACCUCUAUGUCAAGGAUUCAAUUAAUCCCGUAUAAUAUUCCCUUUGUCCUUCGGUAUGUUACUUGCCCGAGAUUCGAUCGUCGGUAUCCCUAUAUGUAUUUGAAUCUCGUUACCGGCAAGUCUCUUUACGCGUUAUGUAAUACAAAAUCCCAUGGCUAACUCAUUAGUCACAGUGCUUGCAAGGCUUGUUGUGAUGUUGUAUUAUUGAGUGGGUCCCGGGAUACGUCUCCGUAAUACGAAGUGACAAAUCCCCGUCUUGAUCCAUGCUAACUCAACGGACACCUUCGAAGAUACCUGUAGAACACCUUUAUAGUCACCAGUUAUGUUGCGACGUUUGACACACACAAGGCAUUCUUCCGGUGUCAGUGAGUUACAUGAUCUCAUGGUCAUAGGAACAUAUACUUUGACAUGUAGAAAAACAGUGGCAAUAAAACGACACAAUCACAUGCUAUGUUCAUAGUUUGGGUCUUGUCCAUUACAUCAUUCUCCUAAUGAUGUGAUACCGUUAUCAAGUGACAACACUUGUCUAUGGCUAGGAAACCUUAACCACCUUUGAUCAACGAGCUAGUCAACUAGUGGCUUACUAGGGACACUGCGUUAUCUAUGUACCCACACAUGUAUCUGAGUUUUCAUUUAGUACAAUUCUAGCAUGGAUAAUAAACGAUUAUCUUGAACAAGCAAAUAUAAUAAUAAUUAUUAUAUUAUUGCCUCUAGGGCAUAUUUUUAACAGUCUCCCACUUGCACUAGAUUCAAUAAUCUAGCUCAGAUCACUAUGUGAUUUACAAUGUAACGAAUCUAACACCCAUAUAGUUCUGGUGUUGAUCAUGUUUUGCUCGUGGAAGAUAUUACUCAUAUAAAUGGAACAACCAUUAUUCUCUAACUUAAAUGAGUAACCGUCUCGCAAUAAACAAGAUCCAGAUAUAUUGUUCAUGCUUAACGCAUGCACUAAAUAACAAUUAUUUAGGUUCAUCACUAAUCCCGACGGUAACUCAAGUGAUAGAGUGCCGACGGCGAUCGCAUCAACCUUGGAACUUUUUCCCACAUGCAUCGUCACUUUGUCCUUCGCCAAACUUUGUAUAUUUCAUAGUUCCUGCUUUGAGUUGCAAAUGUGAGCAACCGAACCGGUACCAAAUACCCAGGCACUACAACGACAGUUGGUGAGGCACACAUCAAUCACGUGUAAAUCAAAUAUACCUUGUUUGGUGUUGGCCGCCUUCUUAUCAACCAGAUACUUGGGGCAGUUCUACUUCCAGUGACUAGUCCCCUUGCAAUUAUAUCACUCAGUUUCCGGCUUGGGUCUAGCCUUGGGUUUCUUCGUGAGAGGGGCAACUGCUUUGCCACUCCUUUUGGAGUUGCCCUUCUUGCCUUUGCCUUCUUUCUUGAAACUUGUGUUCUUAUUGACCAUGAACACUUGAUGUUGUUUCUGGAUUUCUGACUCCGUGACUUUCAGCAUUGCAAACAGCUCGGCGAGUGAUUUAUUCAGCCCUUGCAUGUUGUAGUUCAAACAAAGCUUUUAAAUCUAGGUGAUAGUGAUUGAAGAACUCUCUCAGUGAUUGCCUCUGGCGGGAAAGCAACUCCCAACUUGCCUAGACGGUUAGAGUACCCAGACAUUCUGAGCACAUGUUCACUAACAUACCCAUUCUCCUCCAUUUUGCAAGCAUAGAACUUAUGAGAGGUUUCAUACCUCUCGAUUCGGGAAUUCUUCUCAAAGAUAAACUUCAACUCCUGGAACAUCUCAUAUGCUCCGUGACGUUCAAAACGUCUUUGAAGUGCCGGUUCUAAGCCAUACAAAACCGCACAUUGAACUACUGAGUAGUCAUCCUAACACGAUUGCCAUGCGUUCAUAAUGUCCUGGGUCGCUGAUUGGGGUGGCAUGUCACCUAACGGUGCAUCAAGGACAUAUAGAUUUUGGGAAACCGUGAGGAUAAGCCUAAGAUUACGGGCCCAGUCAACAAAGCUGCUUCCGUCAUCUUUCAACUUAGCUUUCUCUAGGAACACCUUAAAAUUCAAGGGUGCUACUGCGUGAUCCAUAGAUCUACAACAUAAAAUUUCCCAAGAUAACUUAGACUAUGUUAAAGAUAAUGAGUUUAGUUAAUCAUAUUACUAAUAAACUCCCACUCAAAUUGACAUCCCUCUAGUCAGUCGAGUGACUCAAGUCCGAUUAUCACGUGAGUUGAGUUAGAUUCAAUGGUGAACAUCUGUAUGUUGAUCAUAUCUACUAUAUGACUCAUGUUCGACCUUUCAGUCUGUUGUGUUCCGAGGCCAUGUUUGUACAUGCUAGGCUCAUCAAGUUUAACCCCGAGUGUUCCCCGUGUGCAACUAUUUUGCACCUGUUGUAUGUGAACUUAGAGUCUAUCACACCUGAUCAUCACGUGGUGUCUCGAAACGACAAACUUUCGCAAUGGUGCACACUCGGGGAGAACACAAUUUUAUCUUGAAAUUUUAGUGAGGGAUCGCAUUUUAAUGCUACCGUCGUCCUAAGCAAAAUAAGGUGCAUAAAAGGAUUAACGUCACAUGCAAAUCAUAAGUGACAAGAUAUCGCCAUGAACUUGUGCUUUUGAUCUCCAUCUUCAAAGCACCAACAUGAUCUCCAGCGUAACCGGCACCACAACAUGAUCUCCAUCAUCAUGAUCUCGAUCAUUGUGCUCCCAUCGAGGUUGUCGUGCGAAUUAUGCUAUUGCUACUAAAGCUACUGAACUAGCGAUAAAGCAAAGCAUCACCAAGCACAAAAUAAUUAAAGACAACCCUAUGACUCUAGUCGGUUGCCGUAGCAUCGACAUGCAAGUCGAUAUUAAACUAUUACAACAUGGUCAUCUCAUACAUCAAAUAUAUCAUAUCAUCUCUUUGUCCAUGUCAUAUCACAACAUACACUGCAAAAACAAGUUAGAAGUCCUCUAGUUUGUUGUUGCAUGUUUUUCGUGGAUGCUAUGGGUAUCUAGCAUGAUCGCAUCUUCCUUACGCAAAACCACAAUGGUGAUAUAGAAGUUGCUAUUUAUCCUUCUCCAAGGACCGCCCUUUGUCAAAUCUGAUUCAAAUAAAGUAGGAGAAAGAGACACUCGUCAAACAUCUUCAUGCAACAAGUUGCAUGUUAGUCGAUGGAACUGGUCUCUCGUAAGCGUAUGACUAAUAUUGGUCUGGGCCGCUUCAUUCAACAAUACGGCGAAUCAAGAAAAGACUAAGGAGGGCAGCAAUCCAACGCCCACAAACUCCUUUGUGUUCUACUCAAGAUGUCAUCUACGCAUAGACCUAGCUCAUGAUGCCACUGUUUGGGAAUGUUUCAUGGGAAACAAAAAAUUUCCUACGCAUACGUAAGAUCUAUCCAUGGUGAUGACCAUCUAUUGAGGAGAGUGACAACACUUGUCUAUGUCUAGGAAACCUUAACCAUCUUUGAUCAACGAGCUAGUCAACUAGAGGCUUACUAGGGACAAUGUGUUAUCUAUGUAUCCACACAUGUAUCUGAGUUUCCAUUCAAUAGAAUUCUAGCAUGGAUAAUUAAAGAUUAUCUUGAACAAGGAAAUAUAACAAUAACUAUUUUAUUAUUGCCUCUACGGCAUAUUUCCAAGAGGUAUUACCUCCCACGGAGGGCCCCGAACUUGGGUACAUCAUGUGUCNNNNNNNNNNCGCGGAGCCCGUCGGCGCACAUUGUCCCCAACCACUCAAGUUAAGCCACCCCAUGGCUUCUAUCAUGAUGAAAUGAUGAAAUAUGAGGCCACGGGGCCCCUCAAUGGCUUUAGUGCACAAUCACCUUUGACUCGAGGGAUCACCCCAAGUCCACGAGGGCUGUGGGUACCAUCCCCAUGCCAUGCACUCCCACCAUCAACAACGUUGUCAUAACCAAGACAGUCAUCGAUGGAGAUACCAACCUCAACGUGCUCUCCAUCGACACCUUCGAGCAGCCUUAGGUGCCUUAUGAGCGUUUCAUGCUCAUGAUGCCCUUCUCUGGUGUGACAGAUGAAUCUAUCCUAUCCCUCGGCCAGGUGCGACUCCCAAUCACCUUCAUCCCCUUCACGAACUACCACACGGAGUUCAUCGACUUUGGUGUGGCACACAUCGGCCUGCCCUACAAUGCCAUCUUGGGCUACCCAUCGCUCGCCAAGUUCAUGGCAGUGGCCUAUCACUCUCACAACACCGUCAAGAUGCCAGACCGUGGUGGUACAAUUACCGUCCGCUGUGACAAGAAGGAGGUCGUGCACUCCAUCAAGAAUGCUUACAAGGCCACUGCCACUGCCUACCCCACUAACAAGGACGACCCCGAUCACCCUGAGGCCGGAGCCGCAAAUAAGAUGCCGCUCUUUUCUCGGGAGCGUGCCGAUACAACGAAAGUGUCACUAGACCGCGGUGGCGCCGAGCCCACCGUUACCAUCGGCAGUGAUUCAUUAUGCGUAGAUAACCCCCUCUUAUUCUUCUACUCAUAAGUUAGCCACUCAAAUAAAUGCUUACUUCCUUGCUGCAGCCUCACCACUUAACCAUACCUCACCCAAUAAACUGUGCUAGUCUUGAUACCUUUGGAAAUGAGAUUCCUGAGUCCGUGUGCCUCAUAGAUUACUACAACAACAGUGCAGGUACAGGUAAAGUGAUACUUUGACGUAAGCGCGAUGAUUGUGCUAUUUGGAGUUUCUCCUUCUUGUUAUUCUUCAUCGAUCUAGGAUGGGUUCCACGCCGACAGCCUUGGAUAGCAAGGAUGGACGUCAUUAUUUUAUCGUUUGUUUUCAUCCUUAGUCGGACCUACUCUUCUACAUGGUGAUUGAACAUGUUGUUGUACUGAUGUGAUCUUUAUGUAGCUUGUGGCGAGUGUAAGCCAAUUCCAUACACUCAUCUCUUCAGUACAUGUAGUUGUAACGAUAAGCAUUCUUGCAAAACGACGAGAUGUGCUUCUAUCCUGUCGAGGCCCUUGUGCGAAAAUAGGGAUAAGGUCGCAUCUUGGGCGUUACACACACCAAGCAGUAAUGAACAAGGAAAGGCUAGUAAACUUACUCAUCGACGGUGGCCCAGCGCCUCCUCUUCGAGAGGGGCCUUGAGCGGCUGCCGCUGCCACUUCUUGGGGCCUCUCUAGAGCUUCCUCCGGAGGGUGCUCCGUGAGGCAGCUGGAGCUUGCGCCAACCCUGCUCGACUGGGCAAUUUCCUUCCCGGGGCCUAGAGGCCCCCUCAACCUGCCCCUCCCCGCAGUGAAGGUCUUCCACCUCCACCACCUCGUCAUCAUCCUCCUCCAUGCGCGUGGAGGGGGCGAGCAUGAACUAGCGGAGGGGGCAGUGUCGUCAUCGCUGUCCGCAAACAGUAAGCUGCGGCGGCUCAGCAUGCGCCCCCUACUCCCACUAGUGCCAAGGUUGGAGGAGGGUUCGGCGUCCAUGGAGCCUCCCCAUGCUACGAGAAUCAUGAGGAUAGGUUUGUCGUGGGGCCCCUCCUCGCCUUCGAGGACAAGGUCCCACUGAGCAAAGACCGACAUCAUGGCCUGGAGCUCCUUGCCAUCCUCGUAGGCAUACAAGGGUCCUCUCCUGCUGACAGCUCCGUGGACACGACUUCAACAAAUAGAACUUGUAGGACCGCCUUAAGCACCGACGUCUGUAGGGUGUCCGUGCAUAGUCUGGUUGGUCCCUGUGCCCCUGGUACUCCUUGGCAGGGUGCGAGCACUUCUGGAGGGAGGCGAUGCGGCCGAGCAUGAACUCACACACCACCAUGUCGCUCGUGAGCCCUGUUGCCUGGAGCUCCUGUAGCCUGAUGCUGAUCGGUCCAAGGUGAGCAUCCUCCAUCUUAGAGUGCCCCCAGCCCAAGCUCUUCAUAGAGGGCACCUUGGGUGGCACGAACAAGGGGCUGCACUAGCAUACCUUCAUGUAGAUCUAGCGCGCCCUGAGGUUCUCCACCUUCUUGAGUAGCGUCAUGCCGAUGAACCACUCUGACAUGUAGCCCACCAUGCGGAAGGAGGCGCAACCCACGAUCGAGCCCUUCUUCCACCUCAUGCUCUAGAAGGUGAGGAAGUGGUCUAACAAGGGCAUCACCCCCAGGAAUCCCUUAUAGAGGUAGGCGAAAGUCGCGAGGAGGAAGACGGAGUUGGGGUGGAGAUGGAGCACGUGGAUCUGGUAGUGCUCUAGAACUGCACUGAAGAAGUCCUAGAAGGGAAGGAGCACACCUCCAAAGAUGCACAUGAAGAAGAAGGGGAACAUCGUCGCCAACAUUCCCACAGCUGGCUUCGAGCUUGACCAGAUCUUGGUGUCCCCAUGCUCAUUGUGAGCGCUGGCCAUCAACGGGAUGAGCUUCUACGACCCCUCUUGAUUAUUGAUGGUGGAGGGCACCAACACCGGCUCCAUCCGCGCUUCGAUAGCAGCAGCGCUCCUCUUCGGCGCCAUGGCAAUAGGUAAGUGACAAAGAAGGCAGAGAAGGACGCAAGGAAGGAGAACAGCGAGUAGUGAGUGCGCAGGGAAGGAGAAGCUGUGUGCAAGGGAAGCGUCUCGCGAAAGGAAAACAAUGAUGGUUUUGCCCGGCACGGGUGACGGUUUUAAGGCAGAUGUGCGGUUCCCAAGGCACCGUGGGAGAAGUGGUUACGUCCCCUCCUAUAGUGGCUGACACACGUCACCUCCUGGCCAGAAAGCAUGUCAGGACCUGUGAUGCUUCGAACCGCUCCAUUUCAUGCUUCACUUGCGGAACGUGCGCGCCCUGGCCCAGGGGCUAUUGCCGGUACAGUGGAACCAGGUGCUACUUCUUGAUCUUGCGUUGGUUUUCCAUUGAAGAGGAAAGGGUGAUGCAGGAAAGUAGAUAAGUAUUUUCCCCAGUUUGUUGAGAACCAAGGUAUCAAUCCAGUAAGAGGAACAAGCAAGGCCCCAAUCUUAGCACGUACACCAAUAAUCAAACACUUGCACCCAACGCUAAAAAGGGGUUGUCAAUCCCUUCACACUUAUUUGCAAGGAUGAGAUCUGAUAGAGAUAGAUAUAAAAGAUUGCUAGAACGAAAAGUAAAACAAAAGUAAAUAAAUGGCAGCAAUAUAUUUUUGGUAUUUUUGUUUUAUAAAUCUGAAAGUAUAAUAUGGAAAAUAGACUCGGGGCCAUAGGUUUCACAAGAGGCUUCUCUCAUGAAGGAAAAUAAUGUGGUGGGUAAACAAAUUACUGUCGAGCAAUUGAUAGAAAAGUGAAUAAUUAUGAAGAUAUCCAAGGCAAUGAUUAUGCAUAUAGGCAUCACCUCCGUGUCAAGUAGACCGAAACGAUUCUGUAUCUACUAUUAUUACUCAACACAUCGACCGACUCCUGCCUGCAACUAGAGUAUUAAGUUCAUGAAGAACAGAGUAAUGCAUUAGGUAAGUUGACAUGAUGUAGAGGGAUAAACUCAAGCAAUAUAUGAAAACACCAUAUUUUUAUCCUUGAUGGCAACAAUGAAAUACGUGCCUCGCUACCCCUACUUUGUCACUGGGUGAGGACACCGCAAGAUUGAAGCCAAAACUAAGCACUUCUCCCAUUGCAAGAGGUACCAAUCAAGUUGGCCAAACCAAACUAAUAACUCGAAGAGACUUGUAAGAUAUGAAAUCAUGCAUAUAAAAAUUCAGAGAAGAUGCAAAGCAUAUAUAUCGAUAAUCUAAAAAUAAACUCACAAUUCCUUGGAUCUCGACAAACACACCGCAAAAGAGUAUUAAAUCGAAUAGAUCUUCAUGAAUAUCAUGAAGAACAUGGUAUUGAAGAACAAAGAGAGAGAAGAAUCCAUCUAGUGACUAACUAUGGACCCGCAGGUCUAAGGUGAAAUAUUCACACAUCAUGGGAGGAGCAAUGCAGUUGAUGUAGAUGCCCUCCGCGAUCGGUUCCCCCUCCGACAGAUUACCGAAAAAGGCUCUGAGAUUGGAUCUCACGAGAACAGAGGCUCCCACGUGGAAAAGUAUUUUUUUAUUUCACCUUUGGUAUUGGGGGAAUAUUUGGGAAUUUAUAGGAGGAGGAUUAGGGUUAGGAGGCCUGCAGGGGGCUACAAGCCAGGUGCGCCCCCCUAGGGCGCGCCCUGUAAGCUUGUCGUCUCUGUUAGAGCAUAUAUCUCAAUAUGUGGUUUUGGUAAUUGAUGACAACUCCUAUGGACUAAUGGUUGCUUUAAGUUAUAUUUAUAGGAUUUGUCCAUAGGCACUUAUUGAAGUCCAUCAGUUGGGUUCAAGGAGUUUGUAUGAUGACCAAGAUGUUAUUCAAAGUAUUAUCCAAAGAAUGGUCAUAGAAACACUAGGUUGAUCAAGAUCUCAGCCAAAGAGUAAAUCAAGAUGAUCAACACACAAAGCGUACAAGAUGUACCGAGAGGGAUCAAGUGAUCCCAUGGUAUGGUAAGCAUUGUCCAUUACGUGUUUGUGUACUAACCCAUGGUCUUUGUGAGACUCCUAUGUGGGGGUUAGGUGUGCUUCCGUUGGGCUUGCGUCAAAAGGAAGAUCUCAUACAACCCAUGAAGGAUCACGUCAAGUGGUGAUCGUCAUCAAGAUUGUGGUGUGCAAGUUCAAGCGGAUCAACACGAAUAUAUCAUUGAAACUAUUGUCAAUGAUCAUGUGCUGACAAGGACAACCUCAUGUGCUACCAAGGACAAGAUCAAGAUAAGCAUUCCUGAGCACUACAUGCUUGAUUCNNNNNNNNNNGCACGAAUAUAUCAUUGCAACUAUUGUCAAUGAUCAUGUGCUCACAAGAACAACCUCAUGUGCUAACAAGGACAAGAUCAAGAUAAGCAUUCCUGAGCACUACAUGCUUGAUUCUUGUGGAUGUUCACAUUGUGGACAGGACAAGAUCAAGAUAAGCAUUCUUGAGAACUUCAUGCUUGAUUCUUGUGGAUGUUCACAUGGUGGACAAAUGAAGAUGAAUACAUAAGCUAGGCUUUCCGCAUUGUGUAUGGGAAAGCUACUUGAAGACUUGAUCAUGUCUUGCUUUCAACUUGAGCCAAGAAGGAACAACAACAUCAAGCUCAGGUGAAAGGGCUAACUCAAAGGUAUCAGUUCCUUUGACGUUAGUGGUGUGGAGUAAUGAUCAGCGAAUAAAAGUAUACACUCAAGUAUGGAUCAUCAGUACUCUUUUAUGAUUCUUGAGUCCUUAGGGAUCCCGCACUAUUAAGAGGGGAUCACAGGUUUUGCGAUGAACUUGCUCAAACUACAUCUUCUCUUUCUAUUCAGACCACAUCUCCACUGCUCUGCUGUUAUCUGAAAACAGAACCAGUGCCUCGGACAUCCGGCCUCCUCCGGACGUCCGAGGGCCGAACGGCCGAAAGCUUCGGAAAUCCGGAAUCCUAUACCAGAGAAAUCAGAGCCAUAUAACUCGGACUUCCGGCUCUCUCCGGACGUCCGAGGCCCGGAUAGCUGACCAGCUUCGGAAUUCCGGAACUAUGCACCAGAGAAACUUGAGCCAUAUAACUCGGACUUCCGGCUCCCUCCGGACGUCCGAGGGACGGUCAAGGCUCGGACGACCGACAAGCGUCGGAAAUCCGGAGCCCUGCACCAGAAGAACAUGAGCUCUAUAACUCGGAUUUCCGGCUCCCUCCGGACGUCCGAUGGUCGGACGUCCGACCCUCGUCGGAAAUCCAGAACCUACAACCAGUAGAAGUUGAGUUGUAUAACUCGGAUUUCCGGUCCUCUCCGGACGUCUGGUCGCUGUGUAAUUCAAAAUAGUUUCAGUCGUAUCUACAGGCCUCGGACGAUCGACCCCUGUCGGACGCCCGACCCCUCGCGGACGCCCGAACUUCCGACAACUGUCGGACGUCCGGACCCUGUGUGACUUAAAGUAUCCCAACGGCUGUAUUUCUCUCCCCACUAUAAAUACCCCCCUCCCACUUCGUGAGAGGGUUGCCUAACACAGCCUUAUCCUCAUAAGAACACAUUUCCACCUCACACACAUUUUCUCGCUCCAAAUCUAAGAUCCCAAGAGCAUUUGUGAGCCCCUUUGAGAGUUGUUCCAAUCAAAAGAUAGAUCGUCUCCCUCUCCUCCUCUCAACCCAAGCUAUUUGAGAUUUGAGCAAGUUUUGAGCAUUCCCCGUGAUCUUGUUACUCUUGGAGGUUGGAGACUCCUAGGCGGUAGGAGUUCUUCGGAGAGGAAUCAAUCCGUGUGAUUACCCCCCGGAAAAGUUUGUGAGGGUUUGGAAGCCACCUCAAAGGCUUACCACUAGUGGUUGAGAAACGCCUUCGUGGUGUUAUCUCAAAGGGAGAAUAGGGUGAGCCUUCGUGGCGUUGGUGUGCCUUCGUGGUAACAUCCACCUCUCUAACGGUGACUAGCUUCCCUCCAAGGAAGUGAACAUCGGGAUACAUCUUCGUCUCAGUGACCUUGGUUAUCCUUAACCCUAACUCCUUACUUGUGGUUUACUUGUGUUACUUGAGCAUACAUACAUUGCAUAUUGUUUGUGCUCAUUAUAUUGUGUUGGCUAUUUCUUGUACAAGAUUAAUCAUUCAAGCAUACCCUCUAUAUCCACACGUUCAUACUUGCAGCCUUUGAUAUAUCGUGUGAUAUAGUGUGAUCUAGUAUCUUGUGUUGUUCACCUACUUGUCGUGUGAUAUAGCUCACGUAAGUUUGUGUAACUUACUUGUGCUUGUUAGUAACUGUAUUGUGUCCAUCUUGGUAGAUCGUGUUGUUGAUACACGUUGCAGUGCCUAGUGCAUUUAGGAUUUGUGCUUGACUAGUACCCUCUUAGUUUAUUUCCGCAUUAGUUUCAAGCCUAAUCCGAAGAAGUUUUUGAAUAGCCUAUUCACCCCCCCUCUAGGCGUCAUCGAGGUCUUUUCAAUUGGUGUCAGAGCUAGGUCUCUCUUUAAUUGGGUUUCACGACCUAGAGAGUAUCGAUGUUGACUAUUGGAUUAGUGCACAAUGGCAUCUUUGACUUUGAUGGCACAAAUUAUACCCUAUGGAGAAUUCGUAUGCUUCAUCACUUUCGGGCCAUGGGCCCAAAUACUUUACGAAUUGUUCUUGUAGGGAUUGCCGACAAAAAGGAUGAUGCAUCUUCAUCUACUAAUGAAAUGUAUCUUGAUUGUGAGGCCUUUCUUGCCAUUCAUCGAACCAUAAGUCCUGAAGUGUUUAAGUCUAUCUCGACUUGCAAGUCAACUCAUGAAGUUUGGACUAAACUUGAAGAUAUAUAUGGUGGGUCCAAUCUUGAUGAAGACGGUAUUAUGAUGAAGGAGUUGGUGCAUGAACUCUUCACUCUUUUCGAUCUUAAAGAGUCCACCACUACUUCCAUAUCCGAUUGCUUGCACACCUCAGCGUCUUCAAUCUCACAAGGUAAUGACAUGGUGAGUGAAGAAAUAUAUGUUGAUGAAAAUGUCAUAGCCUCUAUGGACACGAGCAUAUCUAGCACCACACAUAGUGUAAAUUAUUGCGCUGAUAGGUCAUGGAUUUCACCUAAAUAUUCCUUGACAAAUGUUUGUGGUGAUAUGCCUGCUUCCUCGUGUCCUCUUGAUCAAAAUAUCUUGUUUAUCCCUAGUUGCUCUAUGACUAAUCAUUUAGGGGAUAUCAAGAAAUAUGAAGUACUCCUCCAGUUCACAUGUGCCUCAUGGCAAGAGGUAAUAAUGAGGUAUCAUCUUCCCUGUGCAAUAAUGAUGGUAUUUGCGAUGAGGAUGAUGAUGAUGACUUGACUGAAAAUAUCUAUGUGAUCAGUAAAAUUCUUCAUAAAGCUAAAAAUAACGCUCUUCAAAGAUUCCAAGAUGUUCUUGCUUACUUUGAAAAUUGUAAUGAUUCACUUAAUCAUGAACAAGAUAAAAGUGAACAACUUGAACAUGAACUUGAGAAGAGUCAUCAAGCAAGUAGAUACUUAAGAUCUUCAAUAGGAGAGAUUGAAGUUGCUCAUGAUAAACUUAAAAAGGAUUUUGAGGUCCUUCUCCUUGAAUGCAAUAAUGUUAAGGGAGAGCUCAUCAAAACCUCUAAGAUCUAUGAAGAGCUUCAAUCUACUCAUGAGAAGUCUCUAUUUGCUUCUUACUCCUCUCAUAUUGUUGAUGAUACUUGUACAUCUAAACCCAUCUCUUUUGAAGUAUCAACAUUGAAGGAGAAUGUUGAGCUACGUGCUCAACUUGACUUACUAACUAGCAAUUAUGGGAAGUUGGAAGAAAACCAUGUAAUGCUCACAAGCUCUCAUGCCGAUCUUCUAACAUCCCAUAAUGUGCAAAAGUUAGCUCAUGAGGCUAUCAUCAUCAAGGUAACAUCAAGUGAGCCUCAUGUGGACAAUGGCACUACUUCUAGUCAAAGUACUAUAUUUCCAUGUGCUAGUCCUCGUAAUUCGUCUACUCACAAUGUUGCUACCUUGUGUGAUGAAUUACUUUCCUUGCCUUGUUGCUCUAACAUUGAAGCUUACACUUCCUCUAGUAAUUGCAUUGAUACUAACCGUGCAGAGGAUAUCGAAGAGCUCAAGGCCCAAGUCACUUCUUUGAAGAAAGACUUGGAACAGUGUCAUGAAGGGAUGUCCACACUCAACAACGCCCUGUGUGAGCAAACAUCUCCGAAUGACAAAAAUGAUGUUGGAGUAAACUCAAACAAGAACAAGAGGGGCCUAGAACAAGUCAAGAAUUCGGCCAAAAUCAUUUCUUCAAGUGCAAAGUUAAAGGGCACCAUGUUAGAUCUUGCCCUCUGAAGACGAAGUCUCAAAGUCACAAGCAACAAGGGAAGCAGCCACAAACUCAAUCACAUAUUCAACUACAAGUUGAAGGAAGGCCUCUUCCCAAUAAGACCCAAACCAACACUCCCCAAGGUGAGAAAUCAACUGGGAAGAAAACAAAGGGUAGAUGUUGCUACUUAUGUCGUGAGAAGGGUCACGUCGCUUCGUCUUACACGAGAGGUAACUUAUCCAACCCAAUCACUAUUGAUGAUACCUAUUCCUUGGGAAGGAUAAGGUUGGCAAUGUGUUUGCCAAGUUUGUUGGUACUCAAAAUGGUGUCAGGAAAAGAACCAUUUGGGUUGCCAAGCCUAUUGUGAUUAACCUCUUAGGACCCAACGUAGUUGGGGACCAACAAGCUCAAACUUGAUCAAUAGGUGACUAUGGUGGACAUUAGAGACUUGGAUACAUAAUGAAGAAUUAAGGGAUCUUCAUCAUUCAUAUUAUCUCAAGCCAAGUCAUUUGGAUUAUCGAGUUUCUAUCUUAUAUCCAAUGUGCCUCCUUACGGUAACUUAUACUUAAACUGUUUACAUUGUUAGGUGCUUGCCCCUCUGCAUGUUGUGGUUUUGUACCUUGCAUGCGUUUGUAUAUGUUGUGCUUCCAACUUGCUUAUCUUGAGUAAUCGAGUAUGGGUAUGUUGGUUUGCAUAUCAUGUACAUGUGAGUCCUGUAUUGAGCCUUUUGUGUCUUGAUUGUAUUUUUGUUGGCUCUUGUGAGAGAUUAAUGGAUUAUCUCAUUGUGGGGGAGUGAUGUGCUUUGCACACCUCUCAAUCCUAUAAAUGUGUAAACAUGGGGAAUGCCACUUAGUUUUGAUAUUUCAAGAUUAUCUUGUUUCUAUGUGGUAUGUCUUACUCAUGAGAAAUUCAAAUUCUAUAUGGUCCAUUAAUUAUCUCUUGUUGGUUUCAAUUUGCCACUUGUUAAUAUUGUUGGUUUAUCACAUUAUGGGGGAGUAAUAUACUAUGUGCAUAUUACAAACCUAGAAAAUGUGUACAUUUGAGGUGUUGCCACUUAGUGUUGAUAUUGUAAAUUAUCCUGUUCCUAGGUGGCAUGUUAUCUCUACAAGUGUUAUUUGCUUGCGUUUUAUGGGUAAAGAUGAUCUUGGAUAUAUUUGUGAUCUACAAAUGAGUAUCAUUUCGAAAAUACUUCUUGUCCUUGACAAUUGGUAUUCCCAUCAUGUGAUUGGAAUUGCUAAUCAUCUUUACAUUGGAUUUUGUGUUUCGUUUGUCUUCCUUGCCUCUUAUGAAUCUAUUUUUAACAUGUCUAGUGUUUUAUAGAUAUAGAUAAAGUGAUGAUCCCAUCGUGUGCGUUUUGUAUUCAAAUGCAAGUUCUAUAUAAUGCACGUCCCUUGGGGGAGCUAUCCUAUUCUCUUUAAAACACUCUCUUUAUUCACCCAUCAUAAAAUCAUUUGAUCCCCAUCAAGUGUGUGUUGAUGGGAGGCAAGUCUUGCUCCUUAUGAUGCUUUGUGCCAUCAUGAAAAUUUGUAGAGGGCUUUGUUUGUUCGAACCUAGCUCUCUCUUGGAAACAAGAUAGUUCGUGUUUAUUUUCCUUCAAUUGGUUUCUUGUUGCCUUCUAUUUGGCACGUGUCAAUGGAUAUAUCAUUCCUUGAGGUAUCUUUUAAUUGAUAUCCUUAAAGUGAUAGUUCUUUUGUUUUAGGAUCUUAUUAUCACUUGAUACCUUGUCUUUUGGUGACUUCUCAACUUUGUGUUGAGUUGAUUCUUGAGAGUCUUGAGCAUGCGUAUCUAGCUACUAUAUACAACUUCUUUUGCUUGCUUUCCUUCUUUGACCCAAUAUAUAGGGGAAACUCCACCUUGUCAGAAAUCGGCUAAAGUGUGCAUGAAAUUCAAAUUCAUAUCUAUAUGCACAUAUAUAUGUGGAGUUUGUCCUAUGUAUUGUUGGUUUUCUAACUCUUUGGUCCCAAUGAGUUUGGGUACCAUUUUGUUUGUUUUGUUGUUCCAGGAACAACUGGAGAUGCAUUGGAUGCUCGGCUCCCCUAUAAGGAAGAUGUUGAGACCAUGUGAUUAUUGGAGCCAAGUUAGGAUGAUCAAAGAACAACUAUCUACUACAUCAAUCCAAUGUUGUCUCGGUAACAAGUAUCCACUUCAUGCAUUAUUUUCUUGCAAAGGACCCAACCUGUCUUUUCUUUUCCAGGUUGCAUCAUGGCAUGAAUCUCUUGAUUUGGUCUUGUAGUACUUGUUUGCUUUCUCAAAGCAUCCGAAUGAUGAUGUCUUACUACUAGUUGGGAUGUCUUUGAUGUUCGUAUGUUGGAAGUUCAUAUUGUACAAUAAGAAAAUAUUAGGCCAUGUGCUAUGCUUCCAAGCAAAAGAUCUCAUUGAUAUAUAUUUAUGACUUCCUUUUGGAUAUCUAGUUUGUUCCUUCUUGUAACCAUUUCGUGUGUACAUCCUUCUUUGUGGAUAUAUAUCAUCAUGAUUGUCUUCUACUUAGAAUCUUUUACACAUGAGAGAAGUUACAUCUCUAAUUGAUAUCCUCUUUUCUUUCACGUCCAUCGUUGCAUUUCCUCUUUCAAGUUUUUUUGAUGGCUUCGUGAAAGGAUUUGUUUCGAGUGCGCAUCUUAUUUCUACAUCUUGAUGCACUCUUUGGCCGUGAAGAUUAUUUUUCCUCAUGCUUGUCUUGAUGAGGGUUUUGCCAUUUUCAAUUAGUAUCCCUCCUCUUGACAAGGUUCUUACUUCCUAUCUUCACAAUGGGUUGUCACAAGCGUUGGUUCUUAUUUUGUUUAUUAGUAAGCUUGUGAACCCAUUUUCUAGUAUGUGUGUGUGGGAAUGAUAUGUCUUGCACUUUGUAUCUCAUUUCAUCAAGACUAUGUUGAUGAGUAAUGCUCAUCCUUAUCUUAGUCUUCUCAAGUGCUUUGCCAUGACUCAUACACAUUACUUUGUUUGAGCCUAUUCUUAAGUUGCUUCUAUUACAUGUUGCUCAACCAUUUGUUUUGUGCAAUUGAUAUGCCUAUUUUCUCAUCUAUUCUCUUGCACUCGUUGUGUGUUUUAUAAAUUCUGGGGGAGCAACGAUCCUAUUUUGUGCACCUGUGUCAAAUACAAAAUCUUACAAUAGUGCACAAAUCAUGGGGAGCUUCUCUAGUUUUUGAUAAAGCACCAUGUUGCCUUUAUCAUAAUAUCUUUUAUUCAUGUGGUUCGAAGGACCAUAUGAUUGUUUGUUCCAUCUGGAAUCUUUUGAUUGCUUGCCUCUAUCUCUGUAUGUCUUUGUGGCAUACGAUCCUUUUAUUUGCAAUCUUUGGGUCCUCAAUAUAGUUUGUUUUCCUCCAACUACUUAUCAUUGUAUUUGUGUAUUUUUCUGCACUCAUUUGCUGAGAAGUACACACUUUUUGGAGGACCACCUACUAUAUUGGCUUUCUAAACUUUUCGUCCAUUUUGGCAAUUGAUGCCAAUGGGGGAGAAGUUUAGAGAGUUUACUUUGGAUAUGUUUAGAAGGCUUUGCUUUUAUUGCGUAAGCAUUUACAUCUUGCACACAUGCAUUAUUACCUUGAAUGUGUGCGCUUGGUUAUGCUUAUCUCCUUAUACAAACUCUCUUGAAGUGGUUGUCUUCAAUUAGCAAAAUGGGGGAGAUUGUUACAGCAUAUAUCUCCAUAUGUGGUUUUGGUAAUUGAUGACAACUCCUAUGGACUAAUGGUUGCUUUAAGUUAUAUUUAUAGGAUUUGUCCAUAGGCACUUAUUGAAGUCCAUCAGUUGGGUUCAAGGAGUUUGUAUGAUGACCAAGAUGUUAUUCAAAGUAUUAUCCAAAGAAUGGUCAUAGAAACACUAGGUUGAUCAAGAUCUCAGCCAAAGAGUAAAUCAAGAUGAUCAACACACAAAGCGUACAAGAUGUACCGAGAGGGAUCAAGUGAUCCCAUGGUAUGGUAAGCAUUGUCCAUUACGUGUUUGUNNNNNNNNNNNNNNNNNNNNNNNNNNNNNNNNNNNNNNNNNNNNNNNNNNNNNNNNNNNNNNNNNNNNNNNNNNNNNNNNNNNNNNNNNNNNNNNNNNNNAAACUCUGCAGAGUGCCCAACCUAAUCGAUUAGCCGUGUCCACGGUCAUGGACAACUUGAGCCGAAGGCAUUGAAUUUCCCCUGAACUCUCGACACAACUUAAUAAUGAUGUGGGUGUUAACAACUAUUCGGGUACGAGAAUUGGUUGGCGGAACCAUCUCGUUAACAACAAACAUUGUAGUAAUAUUUUGCUUUCAACCCCUUUUGUUGUAGGAUAAAACUGGCUUUAUGCAAAAACUUAGCCCCACCGGACAAAUAUGCAUGUAGAGAUAGUUGACUAUUAUUUUACUCCUCUCUUUGAUGACUUGCCGGCAUAUUCAAUAUGCUGACCUACACUGCUGAAACGUAUCAUGUUGCAGAGUACCUUUCCGACCAGGAGUGAGGCUACGAUCUACGCUCAGCGACAUGCCCUUGGAGUCGGAUGGACUCGUCUACCUGAUGCUUCCGCUAGUCUUCGUUAGAUAAUCUCAUGAGUUGGCCUUCAACCACUUUAUUGUAAUCCUUUAUUGUAAUAAAGUACUCUUUAUGAGAUUUCGAUUAAUAAAGCUGUGCGAUUGAACUCUUGAAUAUAUACAUUAUGUACUUAGUGUCUACCAGCAUGAUCUUGGGAUGGUACGGAAACACCAGAGGCUUGACUCGUCUUGAGUCGGGUCGCUGCAUCCAAAGUGGGAAUGGUUUUGAAAAAUUUAAGGGAGAAGGAACCUAUAGUUAAUGAUUCCACUAGAAUUGGCAAACUUGAAGAUGUCAUAACCAACUUCGGUUCCGCUUUUGCUGCUGUGCAAAAUACUCCAAAUCUCACUCUCAAAAAGACCGUCAAGUCUGUUUUUAUUCCUAAAGCUAGUGGUCAGUCAUCCAAUAAAGAUGAAGAUCUUAAGAUGAUAAAUGAUCACACUACUUAUGGUUUGAGCACCAAAGAUGACUAUACGUGAUUCCAUCACCUUAUGCCUAGCUAAGGGCGUUAAACAAUAGCGCUUGUUGGGAGGCAACCCAACAAAUCUAUCCUUUUUCUUUCUGUUUUGUGUUUUCCACACUUUCAUAAUUCUGUUAUGAUUGUGUGUUUUGUGUUUCUUUUGCGUUUGUGCCAAGUAAAACCAUUAUGAUUAGUCUUGGGGAUGAUCGUUUCAUCAUGCUAGAAAAGACAGAAACUUUCUGCUCACGAAAAGAAUUUUCAUUUUGAUUCUGUGAGAGCUUUUGAGUUGAUUCUUUUUUCUGCUGAUUUCUACGCAAAUUCUUCAGACUGUCGUAAUGUUUCAGAAUUUUUGAAGGACCAGAAGUAUACGAAGUAUACAGAUUGCUGCAGACUGGUCUGCUGUUAACAGAUUCUGUUUUUGUUGAGGUUGUUGCUUAUUUUGAUGAAACUAUGGAUAGUAUCGGGGGGUAUUAGCCAUGGAAGAUUGAAAAUACAGUAACCCAACAUGAAAAUAAGUAGAAUUUAAGUUUUCUACAGUACCUAAGGAAGUGGUGGUUUGCUUUCUUAUACUAAUGUUAUCACGAGUUUCUGUUUAAGUUUCGUGUUGUGAAAUUUUUAAGUUUUGGGUGAAGUUCUUAUGGACAAAGAGAUAAAGACUGGCAAGAGCUCAAGCUUGGGGAUGCCCAAGGAACCCCAAGUUGAUUCAAGGAUUCCGUAAAANNNNNNNNNNNNNNNNNNNNNNNNNNNNNNNNNNNNNNNNNNNNNNNNNNNNNNNNNNNNNNNNNNNNNNNNNNNNNNNNNNNNNNNNNNNNNNNNNNNNUGUCUAGCAGUAUCAAGCAUAGUAUCAAGCAUAGCAUCAUCAGGCAUAGUAUCAAGCAUAGCAUCUCUAGCAGUAUCAGGCAUAGUAUCAAGCAUAGCAUCUCUAGCAGUAGUAUUACAAGCAUCAUCAAGCACAUGCGACAUAGCAAGAUUUCUAGCAGGAGGUGAUGUCGCAAACUUACUCAUAACUGAAGGUGAAUCAAGUGCAGAGCUAGAUGGCAAUUCCUUACCUCCCCUCGUAGUUGAGGGCAAGACUUUGGUCUUCGGAUCCUUCAGAUUCCUCAUAGUGAUCAGCAGAUAUAAAUCCCAAGUGACUCAAAGAAUAUAACAAUACCUCCCCAGCAACGGCGCCAGAAAAGUGCUGACGUCAGUUGUGCUUCCUUGGCAAUGGCUCCAAAAAAGGGCUGAUCCUGCAAUCAAUAGUGGUAGCUAGACGAAUGCUUAUAAACAACUAACCUUCUCCUGCAACGGCACUAGAAGAAUCCUGAUAGCACUCCCCGGCAAUGAAACUAGAAGAAUGUUGUUGAUGGCCCACCAGCGCGUGGGUUCGCACCAGUUUUCGAGGGUAGAGUAUUCGACCCAAUUUGUAGGUACGCCAGACAGGAGGUGAGAGUAUACUCUCAAGUAUUAGCAGCUGAAUUUGUCACAUUCAACCACACCUAAGAGAUUAGUAUCUGCAAGCACAAUAGUAACAACGAAGUAGCGGGUAAGACAAGUAACGGCAGUAGCAACAGUAGUAGCAGCGCAAGACAAGUAACAGCAGUAGCAACAGUAGUAGCAGAGCAAGACAAGUAAUGGCAGUGGUAACAGUAGCAAGCGACAGUAGGACAAACUCGUAGGCAUUGGAACGGUGAUUUAUUUGGAUGAUAUUCAUCACGCAACAGCUAUAACAAGGAGAGAUAUGUGGCUAGCUCCCGUUCGUCAAUGUGAUGUAGGCAUGCAUUCCGUGUGUCGCCAUACAUGCUUAGGGAAAAGAACUUGCAUGACAUCUAUUGUCCAUCCCUCCCGUGGCAGCGGGGUCCAAAAGGAAACUACGGGAUAUUAAGGUUCUUCUUUUAAUAAAGAACCAGACCAACGCAUUAGCACUUGGUGAACACAUGAACUCCUCAAACUAUGGUCAUCACCGGGAGUGGUUCCGGUUAUUGUCACUCCGGGGUUGCCGGAUCAUAACACAUAGUAGGUAACUACUACUUGCAAGAUCGGAUCUAAAACACACAUAUAUUGGUGACAACAUAAUNNNNNNNNNNNNNNNNNNNNNNNNNNNNNNNNNNNNNNNNNNNNNNNNNNNNNNNNNNNNNNNNNNNNNNNNNNNNNNNNNNNNNNNNNNNNNNNNNNNNCACCAACGCCACGAAGGCUCACCCUAUUCUCCCUUUGAGAUAACACCAUGAAGGCAUUUCUCAACCACUAGUGGUAAGCCUUUGAGGUGGCUUACAAACCCUCACAAACUUUUCCAGGGGGUAAUCACACGGAUUGAUUCCUCUCUGAAGAACUCCUACCGCCUAGGAGUCUCCAACCACCAAGAGUAACAAGAUCACGGGGAAUGCUCAAAACUUGCUCAAAUCUCNNNNNNNNNNNNNNNNNNNNNNNNNNNNNNNNNNNNNNNNNNNNNNNNNNNNNNNNNNNNNNNNNNNNNNNNNNNNNNNNNNNNNNNNNNNNNNNNNNNNNNNNNNNNNNNNNNNNNNNNNNNNNNNNNNNNNNNNNNNNNNNNNNNNNNNNNNNNNNNNNNNNNNNAAAAUGCUCUUGGGAUCUAAGAUUUGGAGUGAGCAAAUGUGUGUGAUGUGGAAAUGUGUUCUUAUGAGGAUAAGGCUGUGUUAGGCAACACUCUCACGAAGUGGGAGGGGGGGUAUUUAUAGUGGGGUGAGAAAUAUAGCCGCUGGGGAUACUUUAAGUCACACAGGGUCCGGACGUCCGACAGUUGUCGGAAGUCCGGGCGUCCGCGAGGGGUCGGACGUCCGACAAGGGUCGGUCGUCCGAGGCCUGUAGAUACGACUGAAACUAUUUUGAAUUACACAGCNNNNNNNNNNGGACGUCCGGAGAGGACCGAAAUCCGAGUUAUACAACUCAACUUCUACUGGUGGUAGGUUCCGGAUUUCCGACGAGGGUCGGACGUCCAGCCCUCGGACGUCCGGAGGGAGCCGGAAAUCCGAUUUAUAGAGCUCAUGUUCUUCUGGUGCAGGGCUCCGGAUUUCCGAAGCCUGUCGGUCGUCCGAGCCUUGACCAUCUCUCGGACGUCCGGAGGGAGCCGGAAGUCCCAGUUAUAUGGCUCAAGUUUCUGUGGUGCAUAGUUCCGGAAUUCCGAAGNNNNNNNNNNNNNNNNNNNNNNNNNNNNNNNNNNNNNNNNNNNNNNNNNNNNNNNNNNNNNNNNNNNNNNNNNNNNNNNNNNNNNNNNNNNNNNNNNNNNNNNNNNNNNNNNNNNNNNNNNNNNNNNNNNNNNNNNNNNNNNNNNNNNNNNNNNNNNNNNNNNNNCGUAUAGGAUUCCGGAUUUCCGAAGUUGUCGGCCGUCCGGCCCUCGGACGUUCGGAGGAGGCCGGAUGUCCGAGGCACUGGUUCUGUUUUCAGAUAACAGNNNNNNNNNNNNNNNNNNNNNNNNNNNNNNNNNNNNNNNNNNNNNNNNNNNNNNNNNNNNNNNNNNNNNNNNNNNNNNNNNNNNNNNNNNNNNNNNNNNNUGUGAUAUAGUGUGAUCUAGUAUCUUGUGUUGUUCACCUACUUGUCGUCUGAUAUAGCUCACGUAAGAUUGUGUAACUUACUUGUGCUUGUUAAUAACUGUAUUGUGUACAUCUUCGUAGAUCGUGUUGUUGAUACACAUUGCAGUGCCUAGUGCAUUUAGGAUUUGUGCUUGACUAGUACCCUCUUAGUUUAUUUCGCAUUAGUUUCAAGCCUAAUCCGAAGAAGUUUUUAAAUAGCCUAUUCACCCCCCUCUAGGCGUCAUCGAGGUCUUUUCAGUCUCCCGGCAGGUCUCCUGCCCCCCUCUCCAAGUCUGGCAGGUUUCUUCUAGUCCAAGAAAAAUCAUUCCAGAGAUUUUAUUACGUUUGGACUCCGUUUAAUAUUCCUUAUCUGUAGUACUCAAAUACAAGGAAAAAAAAGAAACUGGCACUAGGCUCUAGAUUAAUAGGUUAGUCGAAAAAAUAAUAUAAAAUAGCAUAUUAAUGCAUAUAAAACAUCCAAAAAAAUAAUAUAGAAGCAUGGAACAAUCAAAAAUUAUAGAUACGUUGGAGACGUAUCAAGCAUCCCCAAGCUUAAUUCGUGCUCGUCCUCGAGUAGGUAAAUGAUAAAAACAUAAAUUUUGAUGUGGAAUGCUACCUAAUAUAUUUAUCUAUGUCAUAUUCUUUAUUGUGGCAUGAAUAUUCAUAUCCAUAAAAUUGAAAACAAAAGUCUAAUAUUGACAUAAAAACAAUAAUACUUCAAGCAUACUAACAAGGCAGUUGCGUCCUUUUGAAAUAACAUGGCCUUAGAAAGUUAUCCCUACAAAAUCAUAUGGUCUCGCUAUGCUCCAUCUUCCCCACACAAACUAUCUAAAUCACGCACAACCCCCAUGAAAGUCAAGCAAAUUUUUCACACUUUUUAUGUUCUCAAACCUUUUCAACUCUCACGCAAUAAAUGACCGUGAGCCAUGGAUAUAACACUAUAGGUGGAAUAGAAUAUUGUGGAGGUUGCAAGGAAAAAAAGAGGAGAAGAUAGUCUCACAUCAACUAGGCAUAUCAACGGGCUAUGGAGAUGCCCAUCAAUAGAUAUCAGUGUGAGUGAGUAGGGAUUGCCAUGCAAGAAAUGCACUAGAGUUAUAAGUGUAUGAAAUCUCAAAAAGAAAACUAAGUGGUUGUGCAUAAGAUGAAAAAUUCAACUAGUUAUAUGAAAGUGACAAAAUAGGAGACUCUCUAUGAAGAACAUGGUGUUACUUUAAAGCACAAGUGUGGAAAAAGAUAGUAGCAUUGUACCUUCUCUCUUUCUCUCAUUUUUUCUAUGUUUUUUUGGUGGGCAUCUUUGGCCUCUUUUUUUAUAUGGGCUUCGCUUGCCUCUUUUAUUUUUUGUAAAGUCUGGAGACUCAUCCCAACUUGUGAGGGAAUCAUAGCUUCCAUCAUACUUUUCUCACACGGGACAAUGCUCUAAUAAUGCAAAUCAUCACAAUUUUAUUUACUUACAACUCAAAGAUUACAACUCGAUAUCUAGAACAAAAUAUGACCCUAUAAGCAAUAUGGAAGUGAUGGUGCGUGUCAUAAAAAAACAGAACGAUGGUGUUGCAUGGCAAUAUAUCUCGGAUUGGCUAUGAAAAUGCCAUAAUAGGUAGAUAUGGUGACUGCUUUGAGGAAAGUAUAUGUUGGCUAUUUUGAGGAAGGUGGGUUUAAUGUACCGAUGAAAGUUGCGCGGUACUAGAGAGGCUAGCAAAGGUGGAAGGGUGAGAGUGCGUAUAAUCCAUGAACUCAACAUUAGUCAUAAAGAACUCACAUACUUAUUGCAAAAGCCUAUUAGUUAUCGAAGCAAAGUAUUAGACGCAUGCUCCUAGGGGAAGGGUUGGUAGGAUUUAACCAUCGCGCGAUCCCGACCUCCACACAGAAGUUGACAAUCAUUAAAUAAAUCAUGCUCCGACUUCAGCACAUGACGGUUCACCUUACGUGCAUGCUACAAGAAUCACAAACUUUAACACAUGUAUUUCUUCCAAUUCACAAUUACUUACUAGCAUGACUCUCAUAUUACCAUCUUCAUAUCUCAAAACUAUAUGCAAGGAAUCAAACUUCUCAUCAUAUUCGAUGCACUUAAUAUGAAAGUUUUUAUUAUAUCCCUCUUGGAUGCCCAUUAUAUUAGGACUAAAUUCAUAACCUAAACCAAUCACCAUGCUGUUUAAAGACUCUCGAAAUAAUAUAGGUGAGGUACGGGAGUUUAAUAAUUUCUAUAAAAUAAAACACGACCGUGCUCUAAAAGAUAUAAGUGAAGCACUAGAGCAACAUUGCCUAGCUCAAAAGAUAUAAGUGAAGCACAUAGAGUAUUCUAAUAAAUUCACGAUUUAGCGUGUAUCUCUCAAAAUAUGUGUGCAGCAAGGAUGAUUGUGGCAAACUAAAAAGUAAAGACUCAUAUCAUACAAGACACUCCAAGCAAGACACAUAUCAUGUGGUGAAUAAAAACAUAGCCUCAAGUAAAUUGACCGAUGGAUUGAAGACGAAAGAGGGGAUGCCUUCUCGGGCAUCCCCAAGUUUAGGCUCUUUGGUAUCCUUCAAUAUGGCUUGGGGUUACUUGAGCAUCCCAAAGCUUACGCUCUUUCCACUCCUUAUUCCAUAGUCCAUCAAAUCUUUACCCAAAACUUGAAAACUUCACAACAGAAAACUCUUGAGAUCCGUUAGUAUAAAAAAACUAAAUCACCACUUUAUGUACAUUUGUGAACUCAUUCUUUAUUUAUAUUGGUGCAAUAUUUACUGUAUUCCAACUUCUCCAUGGUUCAUACCCCGAUACAACCCAUAGAUUCAUCAAAAUAAGCAAACAACACAAAGAAAACAGAAUCUGUCAAAAACAGAACAGUCUAUAGCAAUCUAUAAACUUCGAAUACUUUUGUAACUCUAAAAAUUCUUAAAAAUUAGGACAAUCAGGGAAAUGUUUAUAUCAAUCUUGUGUCAAAAUUUCAGACCAAAAGCACGUGCCAGUGAAUUUACAAAAUUCCUGGACUGAGAGGGAAAGUUUCUAUUUUUUAGCAAAAUCAACUUGCAAACACAGCAGACCAUCCCAAAGGUCAUAGAGAUUCAUGAUUUUCAAACAAAAUCAUGAGAUUGCUAUAGACUGCCAAUCUUGAGAUUCAUGAUUUUCAAACAAAACUUCAUAGGGAUAAUCAAGUGAACUCAUCUCACUAGCAGUUGGUUCAUCAUAAUUUGGUCUUUUGAAAAGAUAAGCAAGUGGAUGAUGUUCCAUAUCAUUAGAUUUUUAGGAAGUGAAGAUGAAAGCAAAUAGAAGGCACAUGGCAACACAAGAAAAUAUAGAACAAAAGAAAAAAGGCAAAUGGGAAAGAGGGUGAAUAAAACGACAAAUAUUUACGAAGUGGGGGAGAUGAAAACGAGAGGCAAAUGGCAAAUAACGUAAAUGCAAAGAUAAGAGUUGAUAGUGUAGGUACUUGGUAACGGCGUAGGAGAUUGGCAAGUUGAUGAUGUUGGCUUGAUCCUCCCCCGCAACGGCACCAAAAAUCCUUCUUGCUACUUCUUGAGCUUGCAUUGUUUUUCCCUUGAAGAUGAAAGGGUUAUGCAACAAAGUAGAUAAGUAUUUCCCUCAGUUUGUUGAGAACCAAAGUAUCAAUCCAGUAGGAGGAACAAGCAAGGCCCCAAUCUUUGCACCUACACAAACAAUCAAACACUUGCACCCAACGCUGAAAAGGGGUUGUCAAUCCCUUCAUGGUUAUUUGCAAGGAUGAGAUCUGAUAGAGAUAGAUACAAAAGAUUACUAGAACAAAAAUUAAAAAAAAAGUAAAUAAAUGCCAGCAAUAUAUUAUUUGUAUUUUUGGUUUAUAGAUCUGAAAGUAUAAUAUGGAAAAUAGACCCGCGGGCCUUAGGUCUCGAUGGAGGCUUCUCUCAUGAAGGAAAAUAAUACGGUGGGUAAACAAAUUACUGUCGAGCAAUUGAUAGAAAAGAGAAUAAUUAUGAAGAUAUCCAAGACAAUGAUUAUGCAUAUAGGCAUCAUGCCCGUGUCAAGUAGACUAAAACGAUUCUGCAUCUACUACUAUUACUCCACACAUCGACAAACUCCUGCCUACAUCUAGAGUAUUAAGUUCAUGAAGAACAGAGUAACGCAUUAGGUAAGAUGACAUGAUGUAGAGGGAUAAACUCAACCAAUAUGAUGAAAACCCCAUCUUUUUAUCCUUGAUGGCAACAAUGCAAUACGUGCCUCGCUACCCCUACUUUGUCACUCGGUGAGGACGCCACAAGAUUGAACCCAUAACUAAGCACUUAUCCCAUUGCAAGAAUUACCAAUCUAGUUGGCCAAACCAAACUAAUAACUCGAAGAGACUUGCUAAGAUAUGAAAUCGUGCAUAUAAGAAUUCAAAGAAGAUUCAAAUAAUAUUCAUAGAUAAUCUAAACAUAAACCCACAAUUCAUCGGAUCUCGACAAACACACUGCAAAAGAGUAUUACAUCGGAUAGAUCUUCAUGAAGAUCAUGAAGAACAUGGUAUUGAAGAACAAAGAGAGAGAAGAAGCCAUCUAGCUACUAGCUAUGGACCCGUAGGUCCGUGAUGAACUACUCAUGCAUCAUCGGAGGGGCAAUGGAGUUGAUGUAGAUGCCCUCCGUGAUCGAUUCCCCCUCCGACAGGUUACUGGAAAAGGCUCCUAGAUUGGAUCUCAUGGGAACAGAGGCUCCUGACGGAGGAAAAGUAUUUUUUUCUUGCACCUUUGGUAUUGGGGGAAUAUUUGGGAAUUUAUAGGAGGAGGAUUANNNNNNNNNNUGGAGGCCUACAGGUGGGCCACAAUCCAGGGGUGCCCCCUAGGGUGCGCCCUGCAGGCUUGUCGUCUCCCGGCAGGUCUCCUGCCCCCCUCUCCAAGUCUGGCAGGUUUCUUAUGGUCCAAGAAAAAUCAUUCCGGAGAUUUUAUUCCAUUUGGAGUCUAUUUAAUAUUCCUUAUCUGCAAUACUCAAAAACAAGGAAAAAACGGAAACUAACACUAGACUCUAGAUUAGUAGGUUAGUCCCCAAAAUAAUAUAUAAUAGCAUGUUAAUGCAUAUAAAACAUCCAAAAUAGAUAAUAUAAUAGCACGGAACUAUCAAAAAUUAUAGAUACAUCAGAGACGUAUCACCAGGUUAACCCGACCCAUCUACUGCCGGCCUAGCAGUCCAUGGAAAGAAGGCCCAAUGCAAGAUCUAGCCCCCCAUGAGGCACCGGCUUCGCGAGGAUCAACCUCUCCCUAAGAGGGACCCACCGGACACUCCCCCAUGAGUAGCAAGAGGCUUCACGAGUUCUCCCCCAUGAGGGUGCUCCCCGCAAGGCUCUCUACUUAGAGGGUUUGUUCAAUAUUGGACACACAACUGUCCACACUCCAUGUGGAUGUUGCAUAUCUCCAGUAGAUGAGGCAAGGAUGGUGCCAGCGGGCGCCACAGAAGAAUCUUUUCCCUUUAGUGAUAAAAGGGAUGGCAAGCAGUUGUCCCCUCGAAAGGUGAUUUUCAAGGCUUACCCAAAUGGUGCAAGGAGACCAAUGUGACGCCGGUCGCCAGGACGGACAUUACUCGCGAGCCCACCAGCGCGUCAUGGAUGGCACCUUUAAUAGGACGAAGACCACCUUCGAAAUGCCGCCCUAUGGUCACCCUCCAAAUCAAACACCAUAUCCGUUCGAGGACCGGUGGGAUCAGUCCACGGGACAAUGAUACGUGAGGACGGGGGCGGAGACAGGACCCAGGCCCCAGGGCCUGGGCCCGGGGCUUGAGGCCCAACUCCUUUAUUGAUAGUAGGGAUUACCUAGGACGUGAGGUCCAAAUGCAGCGUAGUUUUUGAAGGCGGCCCGGGGCUUGCUGCUAGUCUGGCUCCGCCCGUGCAUGAGCAGUCCAUCUAACCCUAUUCGCAUACAUUUCUAACAGGAUUUCAACAAACAAUAUGAAUUACAUAUAAACGAGAUGGUUUUCAUCUAAACCAGAGCACAUUCAUCACAUUUUCUACAUAUUACAUUAAAGUGACAUGACCUAAACCUACUCUAAGUCUAUGAUGAUGCCCAUCUUCCAAGUCCUUUUUGUUACCAUCCCGUGUUGGCCUUGUCCAACAGGGCCGAGACCCGUGAAGUAAGGCACGGUUACCGGAGAGAAGAGUAGGGCAUAGAACACGAACCGACCCACGUGGGACUCGAGGCCAUGUUGCCUCCCAUGCACUCCUCCUCAUCGGACCCGCGACCAGUCCACCGCUGGUGGACGUGAGGUCGACGAUGGAAGUGGAUGGUGUGACACGCUUGUCGUGCCACAGUUGUUAACAAAGUGUCGUUGGCGGUGAAAAGGACGCACAGCUAUGUGUGUUCUUGUUCACGGUCGCCUGCAUUGCCUCCAAGCUCGGCGGUUCGGAGUUGUGAGCGGCGUGAGAGCCAGCUGCUCGGUGGUGAAGUUGGGGUUCUCCGCCGCCAUGGACGACACGAUCUCUUCGCUUGCGUUAUCAUUAUAAAUUUGGCCCUUAGCCAGCCGUUGCUGCUCUUGGACAAAGAGGUUGUACCGCUGCUUCUAUUGCCUUUGUCGGAACAUUGGCUACUCCCCAACCAUGUCGUUGUUGUAGUGUAGCUGCUCAUGCUCCAUGGUCGAGAUGGAAUGGACCGACGCGGGCUCCGGCGUUGAGUCAUCGUCGGUGCCCGUCUCCAUUGUUGGUUUGUCAUUGGAGACCUUCGGGUAGCUGGACUUGAUGCCAACGUCUAUCCACUUGGCACGAUGGCUUUGCCAGCCCGUAGAAAGGGCAGCCACAUCGUGCUUCUGCACUAUCAAGAGGCUCUCUCACAAUGGUUACAACUCACGGUCAUGACAUAUGUGGAGCACGGGAGGAGGAUGUACGGAGAAGAGGUGUCAUGGUGCAGUCUGUGUCAAGAAGGGCCUCAUUUAAAUAGCACAUGCGAGUGAGGCCAAGCGGACAGGGUGUGUCAAUGUUGGCGCCGAAGUUGGUAUCUCGUCCGACGUGCCUGCUUAAUGCCGACAUGCAGAAAGACGGACGUGUUACUGGUUUGUGUGUGGUGGAUAUCAGCCUUGUCCCAUCUUCUCACGUUGCUUUGGCAUUGAACAUGUGUGGGGCCCGAGACACUGAACUGGCGGCACUCUUGGCCAACGCGCCUUUUCAACGCUGGAGCGAUGUGAGAGGUCACAUCCUCUCUGAGCCGGUAUGAAUGUGGCGCUGACGCUCUCGAGCGGCAUGAAUGCGCGAUAAACACUUAGGGCAGAAAAAGGCGCGGGACAAGGAAGAGGGUUUUGGGUGGGUUCGGGGUGUGAGAUGAGUAUCCGACAGCGGUCCAAAAUUAAGCCCGCAAAGCGUCCUCUGGAUUACAAAAAAAUGGACGUCUGGAUGGGACGAACGGAUACCGCAUUGGAUGGGAAAAUAUGACCAAACAACCUGGUUCAAACAGAUGCCCAAGGUUUAAGCAUCAGCGUUGAAGAUGCCCUAAGAUCACAUCAUGUGAGAUUUAGGGUUUGUACUUCUCUCUUCGAUUUUUUCUAUCUCAUGAAGGAAUGUGGAUAGAGGAUCAAUUAAAGUAUCGACUCCCACAGUUUAUAUUUAUGCACGAACAACAAACUGAAUAGUCUGGCUUUCUAUGACUAAACAUAAAUAGAAUGAAAACUAGUUGACUUCUUUGUUAUUAACAGGAAAGCAAGCCUUUUGGACGCCGCUAUUCUCGCGUCUUGAGCCAUGUGAGUUCGGACGAACUGCAAAACUAGACGAUGCCCCGCGCGUUGCUGCGGAAAACUUGUUAAAAAAUAUAUGAAUAAAUGUUAAAAAACUAAUAGUAAUGCAAAAACCAUUAUAAAAAUAUCUUGCUUAAUUACCUAGAAAACAUUCAUGCAUGAGGAUAUGUUUUGCAUGAAGAGAUUAAUAAAAAAUUUAACUUAUAACUACAUAUAUGAUUUGAUGAUGUGGCAUUGUUGCAUGGAGAGGAAAAUUGAAUAGUGGGUUNNNNNNNNNNAAGAUAUAUAGAGGAUUAUAAACUACAUGCAUGACUUGAUUAUGUGGCACUGUUGCAUGGAGAGGAAAAUUGGGUAGUAGGUUCUAGCUAUUUAAAAAUAGAAGAUAACAAACUGAAUAGUCUGGCUUUCUAUGACUAAAUAUAAAUAGAAUGAAAACUAGUUGACUUCUUUGUUAUUAACAGGAAAGCAAGCCUUUUGGACGCCGCUAUUCUCACGUCCUGAGCCAUGUGAGUUCGGUUGAACUACAAAACUACACGAUGCCCCGCGCGUUGCUACAGAAAACUUGUUAAAAAAUAUAUGAAUAAAUGUUAAAAAAAACUAAUGGUAAUGCAAAAAACCAUUAUAAAAAUAUCUUGCUUAAUUAUCUAGAAAACAUUCAUGCAUGAGGAUAUAUUUUGCAUGAAGAGAUUAAUAAAAAAAAUUAACUUAUAACUACAUGCAUGACUUGAUGAUGUGGCAUUGUUGCAUGGAGAGGAAAAUUGAAUAGUGGGUUCUAGCUAUUUAAGAAUAGAUAGAAGAUUAUAAACUACAUGCAUGACUUGAUUAUAUGGCAUUGUUGCAUGAAAAGGAAAAUUGGGUAGUGGGUUCUAACUAUUUAAAAAUACAAGAUAACAUAAAAGCUCAUUAAAAAAACUGAUUUUCCUAUGUCAAACAUUGAUAAAUGUUUUGAUACCUUGUAAAAUUUCAUCAUGACAUAACAUUCAUUUUGAAGCAUUGAUUAUGUUCUUUUGGCAUGUCUGUCAUGGACGUCAUUCUAUGAUAAAAAAAUUGCAAGUUAUCAAAAUAUUUGUGGAUGUUUUGCGAUUUUUUUUCUGUUAUUUUAUUUUAUUGUUUACCCUAGCUCACACAAGUUUAGAAUUAAAACAUCAUUUUCGGCCUUUUGCUUCCUCUCUCCCUAGGGCAAUAAAAAUGAUUAGUCUAUCCGUUUUUGACGGUAAAAAAGAGAGGUCUGUUGCGAAUGGAAUAUCUGUGAGAUUUCGCUACCGGACGUUACACAAAGGGCUGAUGUCCUUGUUAACCACAAGGUCAAAGUUAUCGGCUAAGCUUACCACUAACUUUGAUGCCUGUUAUCGUGGCCUUGCAGCGUGCAAAAGCAGAGAUAUCCUGGCCACUUGAUUACGACCUUGGUGCACGCCAACACCGCCAUCUAAUUGGGGUCGACAGUGUGAAUUAGUGCAGGACUGAAAUAGACUGCACCCGUGUUCAAUUCCACAUCGUUUUCUCCCUUUAUAUGCCUUAUUAUGAUCACGGGCGCGCGAUGUGCCUAGAUAUUUCCGUGCCAUGACAGUCUUGGUACAUGCAUCGACGAUCUUUUUAAGCGGGAACGGACGGACAUGGUCAAGCCAUGGCAUCAGAAUUUGUCCAGCUCCAGCAGCUACCAGAUUCUUCAGUCACGGGACUCUCGCCAAAGGAACAAAAUCAGUCAAUAACAGCUCGCGUUUCCUUUUCGUGCAAUUCCAGUGCGGCGCGAGCACAUGAUGCCCGGUGAGAUAAGCUGCAUUUCUGAGGGACUUUAGUAAGUCGGCACAAAAAUCCGCAGCGAAGAGGGUAAAUCCUCUCAGGAAUGGGACGGUAGUGCGUGAUCGAUUGCGCCGGACCACCAGCCCCAUGAUCAAGGGCUAUAAAUAGGGCACGGGGCAUCCACUACAAGCACAACACAAGACGAACCCAGACGGUAAGAGCUCAAGGAAGAUACCAUGGAGGGCGGCCGUAAGCAAUGGCAAGCGCAGCUGGCGGGGAUCGCGCUCGCGUUCCUCCUCUUCGCGCCUGCGUUGCUGCCGUGCGCGGGCGCCGAGGCCGACGGCGAGAAGGACGGGCUGGCGUCGCCUGGGAAGACUGUGCCGCCGGUUCCGCCUGGGUGGACCGGCGACUCGGGGUCCGCCCAGGGGUCCAGCCCUGACGGUUCCAGCUGGAAGUACGAGUGGGGAUGGGCUGCUGGGCCGGGUGGAAAGGGCUCCGGCUUCGGAUACGGUUACGGUGGUGGCAGCGGUGAUGCGGGCGGCGGGGGCGAAGGUGGUGGCAGUGGAAGAGGCGGUGGCGGAGGAAACGGAAGAACGUUUGGUCCACGCGAUCGGGGGUACGGUGGACAUUCCGGUGGCUAUGGUGGCAAUGGUGCUGGUGGUUAUAAUGGCGAAGGAGCGUUUGGCGGCGAAGAUGGUGGCGCUGGCUGGAACAAGCGCGGCGGAUUCCGGGGUGGACGGACGGAGAAGAAGCAGGACGGUGGCGGCAAAAACUGAAGCCGCCCGUACUUGUAUGGCUGUACCCUAUACGUAUGGUGUAUUCCCUCCUUCCUAAAUAGUUCUCUGUUCCUAAAUAAUUACUAGCAAAAGAGCCCGUGUGUUGCAACGGAAGAAAAUAAUAUUACACGUUCUUAAUUUAUAAAAAAUAUUCAUAAUAUGAGAAUUUUUAGUUACGGCACAAAUAAAAUAUGAUCUUAUCUUACAAAAGUGCAGUUCAAGAUUUCAUAAGUCUUCUAUUUUAAAACGACUUGCAUGUAGCUUUAAUACGUAUAAAGAAACGGGCAAGCAAACCUACAGUUUGAUUUCCAAUCCUGAUUUUGUUGAUGUGUUUAUUCCCAAUCCGGAUUAGUACCGGUAUGAAAGAAAGACGAAUAAUGAAUUAUUUAUUAAGAUUGCAUCCUAGAUAUUAUUUUAUUAAAUGUUUA